rnacentral:lncRNA from 1 species
AAACCUUUGUGCCUUGGCUAGUACCGUUUUAGUUAGGGCUUGUUGAAUUUGCGUUGCUUCGGUUUGUGUCGAGUUGCUGGUCUUAGUGUCUAGUCCUUUAGAGUUUUGAGUUCUUGUCACCAUCUAUUCACAGCCGAGUAUUACCAUAUCUUAUCUCUGUCGAAUCUGUUGUGAAGUCCGAAUUGAACUGUGAUCCAAAAAGAAAGAUAACUCCAUACUUGUUUGGCCUUACUCUAGAGAGAGAGAGUGUGUGUGUGUAGCGAAUUGCUCUUUUGUAUUCCUUUGUUCAUAUAAUCAGUUUUUGAGGUUGCCCAAAAAAAAAGAAAAAAAAAAGAAAAGAGAAAAGAUUCAAAAGAAAAAAAAAGGGGCUGUUUUUCAUAUUGAUUUUAGGUUUCUUCCACCUUGUUUUCGGGGGUGUGCUGUGGUUUUCCUUUGUGUCCAGGCUCGCGUCUCUAGCACGGUCUAGCCUAGGACCAGCACAGUACCAUCGUCGAACGCUUAUUCAGCUCGCUUUUAUAACUAACGUGGUGCUAGUUCGUUCCUUGUUUCAGCCCACCUAUAGCUCCACAUACUCUACAGCUUGACAGGUCUUGUGCUGCAGCACCGAUACACUUCGUCCAUUGCUGUACACUUGUUGGCAGACGACCCCUCCUGUCAAGCAAGGUAAGAAUUGGUAAGAACUUGUGUUACAGGUUGAGUGUGAGCGACUUGCUGUAGCUACAUCCUAAUAGUUGUAGGGCUUUUAUUUCUUCACUUGCCUUUUUGUUGUCUUUGUCUUUGAACCAUGCCAGGGGCAGAUGAUGGUAACGAAACACCACUUACACCUCGCACUAAGGGCAUCAUACAACAUUUUGAAAGGAAAGUGAAGCUGCACACAGAGGGACUUGAUAACGACUUGCAGGUGACGAAUGAAAAGCUGGGGCAGUUGGAGGCUACGCAGAUUGCCACAAACAACAAGCUCACAAGUUUGGAGGAAUCCGUUGCUAGUGUGGACAAAAGCCUUGCUGCUCUCUGAGGCGAUUUGAUGCUUUCCACACCGAAGAUAAAGAGAAGCAUAAAGAAGAAAAGGAGGGAGAUCGAGAGCACGGUAGUCAUGAAGAUGACUACACUGGUGAUACUGAACAUGAUGAUCAAGACACUCGUGAUCGACGUCGCCUUCGUCACAACCGUAGAGGUAUGGGUGGCAACCGCCGACGCGAGGUACACAAUAAUGAUGAUGCUUUCAGUAAGAUUAAAUUUAAGAUACCCCCUUUUGAUGGUAAAUAUGACCCUGAUGCUUACAUCACUUGGGAGAUUGCUGUUGAUCAAAAGUUUGCAUGUCAUGAAUUUCCUGAGACUACACGUGUUAGGGCUGCUACUAGUGAGUUUACAGAUUUUGCUUCUGUUUGGUGGAUAGAAUAUGGAAAGAAAAAUCCUAAUAACUUACCUAGAACUUGGGAUGCGCUGAAAAGGGCCAUGAGAGCUAGAUUUGUUCCAUCUUACUAUGCGCGUGAUAUGAUAAAUAAGUUGCAGCGGUUAAGACAAGGUGCUAAAAGUGUAGAAGAAUAUUAUCAGGAAUUACAAACGGAAAUGUUGCGUUGUAACCUAGAGGAGGAUGAGGAACCGGCUAUGGCUAGAUUUUUGGGUGGGUUAAAUCGGGAAAUUCAGGACAUCCUCGCUUACAAAGAAUACAAUAAUGUAACCCGUUUGUUUCAUCUUGCUUGUAAAGCUGAAAGGGAAGUGCAGGGACGACGUGCUAGCGCAAGGAGUAAUAUUUCUGCAGGGAAGGCUAAUUCAUGGCAGCAACACAUGGCUUCAACUCCAUCUACACGUAUUUCUACUCCAUCAUCUAGUGACAAGGCUCGAGCUGCCCCCACCAAUUCAGUUGCGAAGACGAUUCAAAAGCCUGCUGCGAGUACUUCAUCCGUGGCAUCGACGGGUAGAACAAGCAACAUACAAUGUCAUCGGUGCAAGGGAUAUGGGCACAUGAUGCGUGACUGCCCAAACAAGCGAGUUAUGAUUGUCAGGGAUGAUGGUGAGUACUCAUUUGCUAGUGAUUUUGAUGAGGAUACACUUGCACUGCUUGCGACUGACCAUGCAGGUAAUGAAGAUCAAAUAGAAGAACAUAUUAAUGCAGGUGAAGCGGACCACUAUGAGAGCUUGAUCGUGCAGCGAGUGCUUAGUGCACAAAUGGAGAUGGCGGAACAAAAUCAGCGACACAUUUUAUUCCAAACAAAGUGUGUCAUCAAAGAGCGUUCUUGUCGCAUGAUCAUUGAUGGAGGUAGCUGCAACAACUUGGCAAGCAGCGAUAUGGUGCAGAAGCUUGCCCUCAACACCAAACCACACCCGCAUCCCUACUACAUCCAAUGGCUGAACAACAGUGGUAAGGCAAAGGUAACUAGACUUGUGAGAAUUAAUUUUUCCAUCGGAUCCUACAAAGAUAUUGUUGAAUGUGAUGUUGUGCCUAUGCAAGCUUGUAACAUUCUCCUAGGUAGACCUUGGCAAUUUGAUAGAGAUUCUAUGCAUCAUGGUAGAUCAAAUCAGUAUUCUUUUCUAUACCAUGAUCGCAAAAUUGUGUUGCAUCCUAUGUCCCCUGAAACUAUUAUGCAAACUGAUGUUGCUAGGGCUACUAAAGCAAAGAGCGAGAGCAAUAAAAAUGAUAAAUCUGUAAUUGGUAACAAAGAUGAGAUAAAACUGAAAGGACAUUGUAUGAUAGCUACCAAAUCAGAUAUUAAUGAGUUCAAUGCAUCCACUUCUGUUGCUUAUGCUUUGAUAUGCAAGGAUGCUUUGAUUUCAGUUGAGGAUAUGCAAUGUUCUUUGCCCCCUGCUGUUGCUAACGUUUUGCAGGAGUAUUCUGAUGUGUUUCCAUGUGAGGUACCAGUGGGGCUGCCUCCACUACGCGGGAUUGAGCACCAAAUUGAUCUUAUUCCUGGAGCAGUUUUGCCAAAUCGUGCACCAUACAGGACGAACCCGGAGGAAACAGAGGAAAUUCAGCGACAAGUGCAAGAACUACUAGACAAAGGUUAUGCCCGAGAAUCUCUUAGUCCUUGUGCUGUUCUAGUAAUUUUAGUGUCUAAGAAAGAUGGAACAUGGCGUAUGUGUGUUGAUUGUAGAGCUAUUAAUAAUAUCACCAUUCGAUAUCGACACCCUAUUCCACGAUUAGAUGAUAUGCUAGAUGAACUGAGUGGUGCUGUUGUGUUUUCAAAAGUUGAUUUACGUAGUGGGUACCACCAGAUUCGUAUGAAAUUGGGAGAUAAAGGUAGAAAGCAAUUGAUUCUGGAACCUGGGGAUUUGGUUUGGGUGCAUUUGCGAAAAGAUAGAUUUCCAGAACUGAGAAAAUCCAAAUUGAUGCCUAGAGCUGAUGGUCCUUUUAAAGUGCUGCAACGAAUUAAUGAGAAUGCAUAUAAUCUUGAUCUUCCUGCAGAUUUUGGGGUUAGUCUCACAUUUAACAUUGCAGAUUUGAAGCCUUAUUUGGGUGAGGAAGAUGAGCUUGAGUCGAGGACGACUCAAAUGCAAGAAAGGGAAGAUGAUGAGGACAUCAACACCAGCGAUACAUCCUCUCCGACACAACCUAUAGCUGGUCCUACAUCUCCGACACAACCUAUAGCUGGUCCUACAUCCGUCAACUCAACCUUCAAGUAAGUUCUGUUUUAAACUCUUGUCAAUCAUAUUUAGACAAUGGAGACACGUGCACUUUCGUGUUGCUCAGGAAUAAUGGACAAGAUCAGCAAGGGAAGGUUCAACUGCAUUCAGAAUUUGAGGCAACACCAACUUCAAGGGCUGAUUGCAUAUGGGAAGAGUGAUAACUUAACAAAGGUGAUUGGAGAUCAGGUCCAAGCCUCCACAACAUCCUCUAUCAAGUUACCACGUCGCUUCUAAAGCAAGGAAACAAAGAGUCCAAACCCAACACGUUUUGGGAGUUGGAUUCGGACUGGAAAAUAACUCUAACUUGUAUGGGUCACCACGGCGUCAUAUGGACUCCAACUGGGACGUUCCUAUACUUGUUGGAAAGCUCAUGAAGUCUACUUUCCAAUGGGUCCAACCACAUAUCUAUGCAGCUUAUGAGUCGGGCGCAGUCCUUGUUUUCGUGCCGACACCUUUUUCUGUUUUGGUGCUGCGUCACCCUAUUUUGGACCAAUGGCCCAUGUAUCAAGUUGAGUCCAUUAGGGACGCGUCCUAGGGUUGGAGGACGACUCUAGCACCCCUUUGGUCGUCCUCCCCUCUAUUUAUUUACAUCUAGAGCCGCCAUGAACAACUGGGUUUUGUUUAGAUCAAGUUUAGCCUUCGCUACUUGCUUGUAGGCGCGCGUGCAGGAUCAGCCGCCCGUCUCCUUGUCUUCGGAACCCCAUUGUUGAUUCAGAUUCAGUUUGGAACCUUCAAUUCAUCUUGCAAAUUCAGUGCUUCUUUCCUCGUUCUUGCUAGUUCUUCGAUUGCUUGCAGGACGGGAGCCCUAGGGGCUGGUUGUCGCGCUCCGCAAGAUCGUCACGGCUGUUGGACGUGGUGUAUCGGUUGCUAAGGCACAGUCUUGAGGGCUGUAGUCGGGCCGUGAACGUCAUCUCCAUCCACUAAUCGAGUUAUCCAGCGCCUCUCAUCGAAAGAUCAGGCCAAAAACCCUAGCGGGUUCGCAUCAACACACAUCAUCUAGGAGUUCCAUCGGGUGCGUCCAAAUUGAUUUCUGAGCAUAUGUUACGUUCCAUGCAAACCAUGCACCUAUCUUGCAUCAAGAUUAGCACUAUCUCCAAACAGACCGGACCAAGCUUCUACUUGAGCCUCUUCACCUUUGAGUACCAACAGAUUUUCCAAAAUUGUUUCUUAGACUAUGGUGCAUUAUGCGCAAAAUGUGCACCUAUCUUGCACCAAAACUAACACUAUCUUCAAACGGACCAAAGCGAGAUUCCAUAUGACACAUGUCAUCUACGAGUUCCAUCAGGUGCGUCCAAAUUGAUUUCUGUGCAUAUGGUACUUUCCAUGCAAACUGUACACCUAUUUUGCAUCAAGAUUAGCACUAUCUCCAAAUAGACCGAACCGAGCUUUCAUUUGAGCCUCUUCACCUAGGAGUACCAUCAGGUGUGUCCAAAAUGGUUUUUUAGCCCAUGGUGCAUUAGGAGCAAACCGUGCAAACCGAACGAGAUUCCAUAUGAUAAACGUCAUCUAGGAGUUCCAACGGGUGCGUCCAAAUUGAUUUCUGAGCAUAUGGUAUGUCCCGUGCAAACUGUGCACCUAUCUUGCAUCAAGAUUAGCACAAUCUCCAAAUAGACUAAACCGAGCUUACACUUUAGCCUCUUCAUCUAGAAGUACCAAUAGAUGCGUCCAAAAUGGUUUCUUACACUUUGGUUCAUUAAGCGCAAACUGUGCACCUAUGUUGCAGCGAAACUAACACUGUCUCCAAACGAACCGAAGUGAGAUACCAUAUGACACACAUCCUCUGGGAGUUCCAUCACGUGCGUCCAAAUUGAUUUCCGAGCAUAUGGUACGUUCUAUGCAAACCAUGCACCUAUCUUGCAUCAAAAUUAGCACUAUCUCCAAAUAGACCGGACCAAGCUUCCACUUGAGCCUCUUCACCUUUGAGUACCAACAGAUUUUCCAAAAUGGUUUCUUAGACUAUGGUGCAUUAGGUGCAAACUAUGCACCUAUCUUGCACCAAAACUAACACUGUCUUCAAAUGGACCAAAGCGAGAUUCCAUAUGAUAGACGUCAUCUACGCGUUCCAUCAGGUGCGUCCAAAUUGAUUUCUGAGCAUAUGGUACUUUCCAUGCAAACUGUACACCUAUCUUGCAACAAGAUUAGCACUAUCUCCAAAUAGACCAUAUGCUCAGAAACCGAACGUAGCUUUCACUUGAGCCUCUUAACCUAGGAGUACCAUCGGGUGUGUCCAAAAUGGUUUUUUAGCCUAUGGUGCAUUAGGCGCAAACCGUGCACCUAUCUUGCACUGAAACUAACACUCUCCGAACAGACCGAACGAGAUUCCAUAUAAUACACGUCAUCUAGGAGUUCCAAUGGGUGCGUCCAAAUUGAUUUCUGAGCAUAUGGUAUGUUUCAUGCAAAUUGUGCACCUAUCUUGCAUUAAGAUUAGCACUGUCUUGAAACAGACCAAACCGAGCUUCCACUUGAGCCUCUUCACCUAGGAGUACCAAUAGGUGCGUUCAAAAUGGUUUCUUAGAGUGCAUUAGGUGCAAAUUGUGCACCUAUCUUGCACCAAAACUAAUAUUGUCUCCAAACAGACUCAAGCAAGAUUCCAUAUGACACACAUCAUCUAGGAGUUCCAUUGGGUGCGUCCAAAUUGAUUUCCGAGCAUAUGGUACGUUCCAUGCAAACCAUGCACCUAUCUUGUAUCAAGAUUAGCACUAUCUCCAAACAGACCGGACCAAGCUUCCACUUGAGCCUCUUCACCUUUGAGUACCAACAGAUUUUCCAAAAUUGUUUCUUAGACUAUGGUGCAUUAGGCACAAACUGUGCACCUAUCUUGCACCAAAACUAACACUAUCUUAAAACGGACCAAAGCGAGAUUCCAUAUGACACACGUCAUCUACGAGUUCCAUCAGGUGCGUCCAAAUUGAUUUCUGAGCAUAUGGUACUUUCCAUGCAAACCGUGCAACUAUCUUGCAUCAAGAUUAGCACUAUCUCUAAAUAGACCGAACCGAGCUUCCACUUGAGCCUCUUCACCUAGGAGUACCAUCGAGUGAGUCCAAAAUGGUUUUUUAGCCUAUGGUGCAUUAGGCGCAAAUCAUGCACCUAUCUUGCACCAAAACUAACACUAUCUCCAAAGAGAUGUACUGAGCUUUCACUUGAGCCUCUUCACAUAGAAGUAUCAUUGGGUGCUUCCACAACGGUUUCUGAGCAUAUGGUGCAUUAGACACAAACUGUGCACCUAUCUUGCACCAAAACUAACACUAUCUCCAAAAAGACCGAACUGAGCUUCCACUUGAGCCUCUUCACCUAGGAGUACCAACAGGUGCGUCCAAAAUGGUUUCUUAGACUAUGGUGCAUUAGGCGCAAACUGUUGAAAGCCCUAGUUUGGUUUUGGAUAAUUGAUGAAACCCUAGUACUAACCUCUAUACUAAGUGUGUGUAGACUUAAUGAGGUUGGUACAUGCCAAGUGAUGGAGCAAGAGAUGAUCAUGGUGAUGAUGGUGAUGACCACAAGAUGAUCAAGUGCUCUACUUGGAAAAGAAGAAAGAGAAAAACAAAACCCUAUGGAGAUCAAGGCAAAGGUAUUGCUUAGGGUUUUGGUUUUGGUGAUCAAGACACCAUAGAGGGUGUGAUCAUAUUUUGGAUAGAUAGCCAUACUAUAAAGAGGGGAAUUCUUUGGCUAAGCGGUUCUCAAGUGCCACUAGGUGUCAUUAUUCAUGUGCAUGCAUAUAGAACCUAGUGAGCUAACUGAACUCCUUUGAAGAAAAUAUUUGUGAAAAUGCUAACACACGUGCACAUGUUGGUUUACACAUUGUGGUGUUGGCAAACUUUGAAAAGGAGGUGGAGUUUGAAGGGUAGAGAGAGGAUGGGUUCCUCUCCCCCUCUGGCCGAGCUUGCUCGGCGGGAUUCGGCGCUUUUUUGAGAAAAUGACGUCCAAUUUUUCUAUUGCACCAGUGGGAAAAUUAGAGAAGACGCUGGCUCAGAGGCACCAGACGCUGUGUCUGUGCGUCCGGUGUGUAGGCAGUGCCUAGCUCAACUAGGGUUAGGCACCAGACGCCCAGCACCGGACGCAGGUUAGACCCUGUUUGAGCGUCCGGUGUUUUGAGUCCAGUGUUCUGCGCUUUUGCAAUGCUCUCUAGGUAUGAGACCAGUGAGCACCGAACGGUCCGUGCUCAGCGUCUGGUGACCCCGCGAGUUUGCAGACCUCCCUGAGUUUAAGUCCGGUGAGUACCGGACGCGUCCGGUGCCAACUUGAGUGCGUCCGGUGCUCUGCAGGUGACCGUUAGAGAUCAACGCGCGAAAGUGGAUAGGGCAACACGUGGCUGUUUCUGGAGCACCGGACACAUGGGUUGAGCGUCCGGUGCCCCUGCGGUUCGUCAGGUGACCCCGUUUUUAGCCUAGUGAUAGAGCCAACGGCUCUAUUUAUUUUGAGGAGCUUAUAAAUAGUUGUUGGCUGGCUUAGGGCUCACUCUCUUGGCAUUCUAGCAUACUUUAAUCCUUGUGAGCUUAAGCAAACACCUCCCUCUCAUCUCCUUCAUAGAUUAUUCAUCUUUGUGAGAUUGGGAGUGAUUCCAAGUGCAUUUGCUUGAGUGAUUGCAUCUAGUGGCACUUGGGGAUCGAUUUGGCUGUGGUUUUUCUUGUUACUCUUGGUGGUUGCCGCCACCUAGACGGCUUGAAGCAGCGGAGGAGCAUUGGCACGAGUUGGUGAUUAUUCGUGGACAUCUCCUGGUGAUUGUGAGGGGUCUUGUACCUUCCUUGCGGAGAGCCGAAAGGUAACUUUAGUGGAUUGCUCGUGUCAUUGAGUUACCUCACUUGUGGGUCAGUUCUUGCGGUGUCCUAGUGAGGACGACGUUCGUGCUACACCUCUUAGCCGCCGAACCACUAAGUGUUGGUCGACACAACAGGGACCUAGCGUGCCAGCAAGCACGCGAACCUCGGGAGAAAAUUGUGUGUCUCCAUUGUGAUUGUUCAUUGGAUUUCUACCGGUGAUUGGACUUCAUAUUAUUGAUUGGUUCAUCCCCUCUAUGUGGCGGUAUAAAGAUCAAACCAUCUCUCUUACAUUCCCGCAAACUAGAGUAGCUUACUUACAUGUAUAGAAACUUUAGAUAGCUCUCUAGUGUAAGUAGUGACAUAGCUCUUGUGUGCAUAGUGAUCAUAGCAACUAGAAUUGUUGGAUAGGUGGCUGGCAAACACCCCUUUAGAGCUAGAGCAAAAAGCUAUGCUUGUUAUCUACUAACCUCUUGCACUAGUGAGUUUGUAGAUUUUUAAAUAGGCUAUUCACCCCCCCUCUAGCCAUAUUAGGCCCUUUCAAGUGGUAUCGGAGCCGUGGUCACCGUUUUGUGAAGGCUUAACAACCUCGGUGCUCAAAUUAUAGCUCAAAUAGUGUUCAACCAUGUUGGGGACAAACCACCGUUCUUUGAUGGCAUAAGUUCUUUUGACUAUUGGAAGAGAAAAAUGAAAAUGUAUCUUGGAUCAAUCAAUGAUAGAGUGUGGGAAGUCAUGGAGAAUGAUUUUGUGAUCCUUGACCCCGCUUCAUGGAGAAUGAUUUUGUGAUCCUUGACCCCGCUAACCCCACCGACAAUGAGAGAGCAAACAAGCAAUGUAAUACAAUGGCUCUCAACACAACUAUAAUGGCAUUGAUUCAAAGGUAUUUGAACAAGUCAAAGAUCUUGAGAAGGCAAGUGAAGUGUGGACAAGGCUAGAAGAAACAAAUGAGGGCACUACAACGGUAAAAAGUGCCAAGUUGUACAUGCUCAAGGACAAGCUAUCAAACUUCAAUAUGAAGGAUGAUGAGUCAAUUCCGAAAAUGUUCUAUAGGCUCCAAGUCAUUAUCAGUGACCUCAAGGGCCUUGGUGAGAAAGUGAAGGAUGAGGACUUCAUUCAAAAGUUCUUGAUGUGCUUGCCCAAGAGGUUCAAGACAUUGAGAACAAUCAUCUUUAGAGGUGGAUUGACAGGUGUAUCUCCAAAUGAGGUACUUGGAGAUGUCAUGACCAAAGAUCAGUAUAAUGACAAUGAUGAUGAUGAGGUCAUGAAGAAGGAUGAUGAUGAUAAGAAGAAGAAGAGUGUAGCAUUCAAAGCUAGCUCUUCAUCCAAGAGCAAGAACAAGGAAGAAUCAAGUGAUGAGGAGUGUUCCAAUGAUGAUAGUGAUGAUGAAGCACUAGCACUCUUUAUCCGCAAGUUUGGCAAGAUGAUGAAGGAAAAGGGCUACCAUACAAGGAAGAGAAGGGACAACUCCAAGAACAAGGAAUAUGUGAGGCUAUGCUACAAGUGCAAGAGCCCCGAUCAUAUUGUGGCGGAUUGUCCUUACAAUAGUGACAAUGAUGAGCAUAACAAGAGGAACAAGAAGGAGAAGAAAGAAAAGAAAGAGAAGAAGAUGGUCUUCAAGAAGAAGAAUAAGGGUGGAUCCUAUGUUGUGACAUGGGAUAGUGAUGCCUCUUCGGAUGAUGACUCAAGCGAUGAUGACAAAUCAUCCAAAAAGAAGGCAUUUGCAAGCAUUGCUAUCAACAAGCCAUCACUCUUCGACACUCCUUCAUGCUUCAUGGCCAAGGGCCACAAGGUACAAUAUGAUGAAAGUGAAAGUGAACAUGAACAUGAUAGUGAUAGUGAUGAUGAAAAUGAAUUCACUAAUGAACAACUCAUGGACAUGUUAGAACAAGCUGAAUCUCUCAUUCAAUCCAAAAACAAGAAGUGCAAAGAAUUGCCCAAGAAGUUAAAAGCUCUUGAGCAAUCCUUUGAUGAGCUCAAUGCUAAUCAUGAGAGGCUAGUGGAAGCCCAUGAGAAGCUUGGCAAGGCUCACACCAAGCUUGAGAAAGCUCACUCCUUAUUGUUAGAAGAGAACAGGGAAAAGGUUGUUGUAUCAUGUGAUGUGGGCACAACAUGUGACUUAAUUAAAGAAUCACCCAACCCACCUAUUGUUGUUGCCACUAAAUCUUCUUGUAGGUCUUCAUCCACCACCACCAACUCUACCUCUACUUCUAGUGUUAGUGUCACUUGUGAUACCUCACUAAAGGUUGAGAAUGAGACUCUCAAGAGAGAGGUGGAUGAGCUCACUCACGCCCUAGGCAAGGCCUAUGGUGGUGAGGCCCGCUUGCUAAAGUGCUUGGGUAGCUAAAGGUUUUCUCUCAACAAAGAGGGAUUAGGCUAUACCCCCAAGAAAGGCAAGGCGGCCUUUGCAACUCACAAGACUAGCUUUGUGAAGAGCAAUGGUUGGUAUUGCAACAAAUGCAAGCAAGUUAGGCACCUAGAGCUUAAUUGCAAUAAAGUGAACAAGAACAACAAAAAUGCUAAUGUAUCUUACAUUCCAUUUGAUUCUUGUUAUGUGCUUACCAAGGGUGAGAAUGGUGUGCAUGCUAAGUUUGUUGGUACACCAAUUGUGGGUCCAAAGAAGAAGGGCAUUUGGGUACCAAAAUGCUUAGUUACUAACCUCCAAGGACCCAAACAAGUAUGGGUACCUAAGAAAUAUUGAUUUGUUUUGUAGGUAAAUUAUAAAGCCGGAGGAAGGCAUUGGGUACUUGAUAGUGGGUGCACACAACACAUGACCGGUGAUUCAAGAAUGUUCAAUUCAAUCAAUCCAAAUGAUGACAAUGGUGUUGAUAGUAUCACAUUUGGUGAUAAUGGCAAAGCGAAGGUCAAAGGGCUUGGUAAAAUUGCUAUAUCCAAUGACUUGAGCAUUUCCAAUGUGCUACUAGUAGAGAUCUUGAACUUCAAUUUGCUAUCUGUAGCUCAACUUUGUGAUCUUGGUUUCAAAUGCAUAUUUGGAGUUGAUGAUGUAGAGAUCAUAAGUGUAGAUAGCUCUAACUUGAUAUUCAAAGGCUUUAGAUAUGAGAAUCUAUACUUGGUUUAUUUCAAUGCUAGUGAAGCUAAAUUGUCAACAUGCUUGCUCACUAAAUCUAGCAUGGGUUGGUUAUGGCAUAGAAGGCUUUGUCAUGUUGGAAUGAAACAAUUAAACAAGUUAGUCAAGCAUGAUCUUGUUAGAGGCUUGAAAGAUGUCACAUUUAAGAAAGACAAGAUUUGUAGUGCAUGUCAAGCCGGAAAGCAAGUUGGCAACACUCAUCUAAAGAAGAGCAUCAUGAGUACAUGCAAGGCAUUUGAGUUGUUGCACAUGGACUUAUUUGGACCAACCACAUACACAAGCAUUGGUGGAAAUAAAUAUGGAUUUGUGAUAGUAGAUGAUUUCACAAGAUACACAUGGGUAUUCUUUCUUAGUGACAAGAGUGAUGCUUUUGCAACUUUCAAAUCAUUUGUCAAGAGAAUACAUAAUGAGUUUGAAACAACCAUCAAGAAAGUGAGAAGUGACAAUGGAAGUGAAUUCAAGAACUUUAGAGUUGAUGAGCUUUGUGAUGAAUUUGGCAUUAGGCAUCAAUUCUCGGCCAAGUACACUCCACAAUCAAAUGGUCUUGUAGAGAGAAAGAAUAGAACCUUCAUUGACAUGGCAAGAUCAAUGUUGAGUGAAUACAAUGUGAGUCAUUCUUUUUGGGCCGAAGCAAUCAACAUGGCUUGCUACUAUAGCAACCGACUCUAUUGUCACCCAAUGAUGGAGAAGACACCAUAUGAGCUCUUGAAUGGUAGAAAGCCCAACAUUGCAUACUUUCAGGUUUUUGGUUGCAAAUGCUACAUAUUGAAGAAAGGCACUAGAUUGAGCAAAUUUGAAAAGAAAUGUGAUGAAGGCUUCUUGCUUGGUUACUCUACUACUAGCAAAGCUUAUAGAGUUUGGAAUUUGGCUAGUGGUACUCUUGAAGAGGUGCAUGAUGUUGAGUUUGAUGAAACCAAUGGCUCUCAAGAGGAAGAUGAGAAUCUAGAUGAUGUGAGAGGCACUAAAUUGGCCGAUGCAAUGAAGAACAUGGAUAUUGGUGAUUUAAGGCCUAGAGAGGUGAUUGAUGUUGAAGAUGACAAAGAUCAAGUGCUUUCUACCUCUAAUGUGCAAGCUAGUGGUUCUCAUGAUCAAAAUCAAGCUAGUACAAGUGGUACACAAGUGCAAGAUCAACAAGCUAGUACAUCAUCUCAUGAUCAACCAAGUGCAAGCAAUCAAGUGCAAAUACUCCAACCAACAAAUAUUGCAGGAGAUCAUCCAUUGGAUCAUAUCAUUAGUGACAUUUAAAGAGGAGUGCAAACUAGAUCAAGAUUAGCAUUAUUUUGUGAGCAUUUCUCCUUUGUGUCUCACAUUGAGCCAAAGAAGAUUGAUGAAGCAUUGAGAGAUGUUGAUUGGGUUAAUGCUAUGCAUGAAGAGCUUAACAAUUUCAAGAGAAAUCAAGUAUGGGAAUUAGUUGGGAGGCCUAGUGAUCAUAAUACCAUUGAUACUAGAUGCGUCUUCUGCAACAAGCAAGAUCAAGAUGGGAUAGUUGUAAGGAACAAAGCAAGAUUGGUAGCACAAGGCUAUACUCAAGUUGAAGGUCUUGACUUUGGUGAAACAUAUGACCCGGUUGCAAGAUUGGAAGCAAUUAGGAUCUUGUUGGCCUAUGUUUGUCCACAUAAUAUCAAGUUAUAUCAAAUGGAUGUAAAGAGUGCAUUUCUCAAUGGCUAUAUCAAUGAAGAAGUUUAUGUUGAGCAACCACCCGGUUUUGAAUAUGACAAGAUAGUGCUAAUCUUGAUGCAAGAUAGGUGCACAGUUUGCACCUAAUGCACCGUAGUCUAAGAAACCAUUUUGGACGCACAUGUUGGUACUCCUAGGUGAAGGGGCUCAAGUGGAUGCUCGGUUCGGUCUGUUUGGAGACAGUGCUAAUCUUGAUGCAAGAUAGGUGCACCGUUAGCAUGGAACAACUAAAUGCAUCGAAAACAAUCUUGACGCACAUGAUGGAACUCCUAGAUGACGUGUGUCAUACGAAAUGUUGCUUCGGUCUGUUUGGAGACAGUGUUAGUUUUGGUGCAAGAUUGGUGUAAGGUUUGCACAUAAUGCAACAUAGGCUAAGAAACCAUUUCAAACGCACCCGAUGGUACUCCUAGGUAAAAGGCUUAAGUGAAAGCUCGGUUUUGUCUAUUUGGAGAUAGUGCUAAUGUUGAUGCAAGAUAGAUGCACGGUCUGCAUAGAACGUACCAUAUGCUUAGAAAUUAAUUUGGACACACCCACUAGAACUCCUUGAUAACAUGUGUCAUAUGGAAUCUCGCUUUAGUGUGCUUAGAGACAGUAUUAGUUUUGGUGCAAGAUAUGUGCACGGUUUGCGCCUAAUGCACCAAAGUUUAAGAAACCAUUUUGGAAACACCUACUGGUACUCCUAGGUGAAGAGGCUCAGGUGGAGGCUUGGUUUGGUCUAUUUAGAGAUAGUGCUAAUCUUGAUGAAAGAUAGGUGCACGAUUUGCAUGGAACAUACCAUUUGCUCAUAAAUCGAUUUGGACGCACCAGAUGGAACUCCUAGAUGACAUGUGUCGCAUGGAAUCUCAAUUUGGUCUGUUUAGAGACAGUGUUAGUUUCGGUGCAAGAUAGGUAACCGGUUUUCACCUAAUGCACCAUAGGAUAAGAAACCAUUUUGGACGCACCCGAUGGUACUCCUAGGUCAAGGGGCUCAAGUGAAAGCUAGGUUUGGUUUGUUUGGAGAUAGUGCUAAUCUUGAUGCAAGAUAGAUGCACGGUUUGCAUGGAACAUACGAUAUGCUCAGAAAUCAAUUAGGACACACCUGAUAUAACUCCUUGAUGAAGUGUGUCAUAUGGAAUCUUCCUUCGGAUCGUUUAGAGACAGUGUUAGUUUUGGUAGAAGAUAUGUGCACGGUUUACGCCAGAUGCACCAUAGGCUAAGAAACCAUUUUAGACGCACCCGAUGGUACUCGUAGUUGAAGAGGCUCAAGUGGAGGCUUGAUUUGGUCUGUUCAGAUAUAGGGCCUAUCUUGAUGCAAGAUAGUUGCACUGUUUGCAUGCAACGUACCAUAUGCUAAGAAAUCAAUUUGGACGCACCCAAUGGAAAUCCUAGAUGAUGUGUGUCAUAUGGAAUCUCGCUUUGGUCUGUUUAGAAAUAGUGUUAGUUUCGGUGUAAGAUAUGUGCAUGGUUUGCGCCAGAUGCACCAUAGUCUAAGAAACCAUUUUGGAAGCACCUGUUGGUACUUCAGUGAAGAGGCUCAAGUGGAAGCUCGGUUUGAUCUAUUUGGAGAUAGUGCUAAUCUUGAUGCAAGAUAGGAGCAUGAUUUGCAAGGAACAUUCCAUAUGCUUAGAAAUCAAUUUGGACGCACCUAAUGGAACUCCUAGAUGAUGUGUGUCAUAUGGAAUCUUGCUUCGGUCCGUUUGUAGACAUUGUAAGUUUUAGUGCAAGAUAGGUGCAUAGUUUGCGCCUAAUGCACCAUAGUCUAAGAAAGUAUUUUGGACAAACUAUUUGGUACUCAUGGGUGAAGAGGCUCAAGUGGAAGCUUGGUUCGGUCAGUUUGGAGAUAGUGCUAAUCCUUAUGCAAGAUAGGUGCAUGGUUUGCAUGGAACAUACCAUGUGCUUGGAAAUCAAUUUGGAUGCACCCAAUGGAACUCCUUGAUGACGUGUGUCAUUUGGAAUCUUGCUUUGGUCCAUUUGGAGACAUUGUUAGUUUUGGUGCAAGAUAGGUGCACCUUAGUCUAAGAAACCAUUUUGGACACACUUGUUGGUACUCCUAGGUGAAGGGGCUCAAGUGGAUGCUCGGUUCGAUCUGUUUGGAGAUAGUGCUAAUCUUGAUGCAAGAUAGAUGCACAGUUUGCAUGGAACAUACGAUAUGCUUAGAAAUCAAUUAGGACGCACCUGGUAUAACUCCUUAAUGAUUUGUGUUAGUUUUGGUAGAAGAUAUGUUCACGGUUUACGCCUAAUGCACCAUAGGCUAAGAAACCAUUUUAGACGCACCCGAUGGUACUCGUAGUUGAAGAGGCUCAAGUGGAGGCUCGAUUUAGUCUGUUCGGAUAUAGUGCUAAUCUUCAUGCAAGAUAGUUGCACAGUUUGCCUGCAACGUACCAUAUGUUAAGAAAUCAAUUUGGACGCACCCAAUGAAACUGCUAGAUGACGUGUGUCAUAUGCAAUCUCGCUUCGGUCUGUUUAGAAACAAUGUUAGUUUCGGUGCAAGAUAGGUGCAUAGUUUGUGCCAAAUGCACCAUAGUCUAAGAAACCAUUUUUGACAAAUUUGUUUGUACUCCUAGAUGAAGAGGCUCAAGUGGAAGCUCGGUUCGACCUGUUUGGAGAUAGUGCUAAUCUUGAUGCAAGAUAGGUGCACGGUUUGCAUGGAACAUACCAAAUGCUUAGAAAUCAGUUUGGACGCACCCAAUGGAACUCCUAGAUGGCGUGUGUCAUAUGGAAUGUUGCUUCGGUCCGUUUGUAGACAUUGUAAGUUUUAGUGCAAGAUAGGUGCACAGUUUGCGCCUAAUGCACCAUAGUCUAAGAAACCAUUUUGGACGCACUAUUUGGUACUCCUAGGUGAAUAGGCUCAUGCGGAAGCUUGGUUCGGUCAGAUUGGAGAUAGUGCUAAUCCUUAUUCAAGGUAGGUGCAUGAUUUGCAUGAAACAUACCAUAUGCUUGGAAAUCAAUUUGCAUGCACCCAAGGGAACUCCUUGAUGAUGUGUGUCAUUUGGAAUCUCGCUUCGGUCCAUUUGGAGACAUUGUUAGUUUUGGUGCAAGAUAGGUGCACAGUUUGCACCUAAUGCACCAUAGUCUCAGAAACCAUUUUGGACGCCCUUGUUGGUACUCAUAGGUGAAGGGGCUCAAGUGGAUGCUCGGUUCGGUCUGUUUGGAGAUAGUGCUAAUCUUGAUGCAAGAUAGGUGCACGGUUUGCAUGGAACAUACCAUAUGCUUAGAAAUCAGUUUGGACACACCCAAUGGAACUCCUAGAUGACGUGUGUCAUAUGGAAUCUUGCUUCGGUCCGUUUGUAGACAUUGUAAGUUUUAGUGCAAGAUAGGUGCACAGUUUGCGCCUAAUGCACCAUAGUCUAAGAAACCAUUUUGGACGCACUAUUUGGUACUCCUGGGUGAAGAGGCUCAUGUGGAGGCUUGGUUCGGUCAGUUUGGAGAUAGUGCUAAUCCUUAUGCAAGGUAGGUGCAUGGUUUGCAUGGAACAUACCAUACGCUUAGAAAUCAAUUUAGAUGCACCCAAUGGAACUCCUUGAUGAUGUGUGUCAUUUGGAAUCUCGCUUCGGUCCAUUUAGAGACAUUGUUAGUUUCGGUGCAAGAUAGGUGCACAGUUUGCACCUAAUGCACCUUUGUCUAAGAAACCAUUUUGGACACACUUGUUGGUACUCCUAGGUGAAGGGGCUCAAGUGGAUGCUCGGUUCGAUCUGUUUGGAGAUAGUGCUAAUCUUGAUGCAAGAUAGGUGCACGGUUUGCAUGGAACAUACCAUAUGCUUGGAAAUCAAUUUGGAUGCACCUGAUGGAACUCCUUGAUGACGUGUGUCAUAUGGAAUCUCGCUUUGGUCUGUUUAGAAAUAGUGUUAGUUUCGGUGCAAGAUAUGUGCAUGGUUUGCGCCUAAUGCAUCAUAGUCUAAGAAACCAUUUUGGAAGCACCUAUUGGUACUUCAGUGAAGAGGCUCAAGUGGAAGCUCUGUUUGAUCUAUUUGGAGAUAGUGCUAAUCUUGAUGCAAGAUAGGUGCAUGAUUUGCAAGGAACAAACCAUAUGCUUAGAAAUCAGUUUGGACGCACCCAAUGGAACUCCUAGAUGACGUGUGUCAUAUGGAAUCUUGCUUCGGUCCGUUUGUAGACAUUGUAAGUUUUAGUGCAAGAUAGGUGCACAGUUUGCGCCUAAUGCACCAUAGUCUAAGAAACCAUUUUGGACGCACUAUUUGGUACUCCUGGGUGAAGAGGCUCAAAUGGAGGCUUGGUUCGGUCAGUUUGGAGAUAGUGCUAAACCUUAUGCAAGGUAGGAGCAUGGUUUGCAUGGAACAUACCAUAUGCUUGGAAAUCAAUUUGGAUGCACCCAAUGGAACUCCAUGAUGACGUGUGUCAUUUGGAAUCUCGCUUCGGUCCAUUUAGAGACAUUGUUAGUUUCGGUGCAAGAUAGGUGCACAGUUUGCACCUAAUGCACCUUAGUCUAAGAAACCAUUUUGGACACACUUGCUGGUACUCCUAGGUGAAGGGGCUCAAGUGGAUGCUCGAUUCGAUCUGUUUGGAGAUAGUGCUAAUCUUGAUGCAAGAUAGUUGCACGGUUUGCAUGGAACAUACCAUAUGUUUGGAAAUCAAUUUGGAUGCACCCGAUAGAACUCCUUGAUGACAUGUGUCAUAUGGAAUCUCGCUUUGGUCUGUUUAGAAACAGUGUUAGUUUUGGUGCAAGAUAUGUGCAGGGUUUGCGCCUAAUGCACCAUAGUCUAAGAAACCAUUUUGGAAGCACCUAUAGGUACUUCGGUGAAGAGACUCAAGUGGAAGCUCGGUUUGAUCUAUUUGGAGAUAGCGCUAAUAUUGAUGCAAGAUAGGUGCAUGAUGUGCAAGGAACAUACCAUUUGCUUAGAAAUCAAUUUGGACGCACCCAAUGGAACUCCUAGAUGACGUGUGUCAUAUGGAAUCUUGCUUCUGUCCGUUUGUAGACAUUGUAAGUUUUAGUGCAUGAUAGGUGCACAGUUUGCGCCUAAUGCACCAUAGUCUAAGAAACCAUUUUGGACACACUAUUUGGUACUCCUAGGUGAAGUGGCUCAAGUGGAAACUUGGUUCGGUCAGUUUGGAGAUAGUGCUAAUCCUUAUGCAAGGUAGAUGCAUGGUUUGUAUGGAACAAACCAUAUGCGUGGAAAUCAAUUUGGAUGCACCUGAUGGAACUCCUUGAUGACGUGUGUGAUAUGGAAUCUCGCUUCGGUCCAUUUGGAGACAUUGCAAGUUUCGGUGCAAGAUAGGUGCAUAGUUUGUACCUAAUGCACCAUAGUCUAAGAAACCAUUUUGGACGCACUUGUUGGUACUCCUAGGUGAAGGGGCUCAAGUGGAUGCUCGGUUCGGUCUUGUCGAGGAUAUCAGUAAGGGGUACCCCAACUGAUGUGUAUAACGAGAGUGCCCGUACGCAAGUCGAGGCCUCCGACUCGACGCUCUACCUAGCCACGCGUACGGUCCUCGACGGACAUAGUCUCGAACACGGAAAGAGCGUCCUGCGAAUCGAUCAGGGCUCGAGCACCAGCUACCGUCGAACACGGAAACAGGCUCGAGCGAAUCAGAAGGCGUCGAGCGCAAGGACGCCGUCCGCCGCCUGACGCGGGCACGGGAACCAGGGCAUUUAAUGCGCCUGUCGCGUUCUCACCUAACCCGCCAGUCACGGGAAGCGUGAUAGGGAACAGGCAUCCGUCUCGUCAUUCUUUUUGCAGCCUUCCCCACCAAAUAAGCUAGAGCGCGGCAGGUUGCAGGGAAUGCGUCAAGAUGUCUAAUCAAAACCCCCCUCGAGACACCCAAGGUCAGCGCUCUAGCUAGCCAGGCGUUAUACGGUACCUGACCCUCGAGUAGACAUGUUUCCUUCCCAAGGAAGGGUCGAGCGUCGAGUGACAGCGCCGCAAUAGAUAAACAGGCCCAGGACGGCGCGUAGAGCGGGAUACCGGGGCACGCGUAAUCAUCAUCAAGCUACCGGCACAAGACGGCUCGAAACCACACCGGUACGGAGGCCUCGAGUAGGUCAGCGCGCUAUACCUCUAUCGACCCUUGCUCUGGCGCCUAUACAUGUACCCUAGGUCUCUCCUUGGAACUAUAAAAGGGGAGGCCCGGGAGCGGAUACAGGGGACGGGAUACAACAUCACCGAACACAAAAGCCAUACGCAGUAGAGCGAAUUCACUCAUACUCCAUCCAUACCACGCUUGUAUUCACCCCUGUAUAAGCACUUAGGUGCAAAAUAAUACAAACUCUCCCCCCCCCCCGCUGGACGUAGGGCCUUCUCUUGCCCGAACUAGGAUAAAUCUUUGUGUCUUUUUGCAUCACCAUCUGGAAAAGGGAGCACGCAUACAAAUUUACUCGUUGGUGUGACCCCCCGGGGGAAAACACCGACAGGUCUGUUUGGAGAUAGUGCUAAUCUUGAUGCAAGAUAGGUGCACGGUUUGCAUGGAACAUACCAAAUGCUUGGAAAUCAAUCUGGACGCAAAUGAUGGAACCCUAGAUGACGUGUGUCAUACAAAAUCUUGCUUUGGUCUGUUUGGCGACAGUGUUAGUUUCGGUGCAAGAUAGGUGCAAGGUUUUGCACAUAACGCAGCAUAGGCUAACAAACCAUUUGGAUGCACCCUACUUCUAGGUAAAAGGCUCAAGUGUAAGCUCAGUUUGAUCUAUUUGGAGAUAGUGCUAAUCUUGAUGCAAGAUAGAUGCACGGUCUGCAUGGAACGUACCAUUUGCUUAGAAAUUAAUUUGGACACACCCGAUAGAACUCCUUGAUGACGUGUGUCAUAUGGAAUCUCGCUUUGGUGUGCUUAGAGACAGUAUUAGUUUUGGUGCAAGAUAUGUGCAUAGUUUGCGCCUAAUGCACCAAAGUAUAAGAAACCAUUUUGGAAGCACGUGUUGGUACUCCUAGGUGAAGAGGCUCAAGUGGAGGCUCGGUUCAGUCUAUUUAGAGAUAGUGCUAAUAUUGAUGCAAGAUAGAUGCACGGUUUGCAUGGAACAUACGAUAUGCUCAAAAAUCAAUUAGGACGCACCUGAUAUAACUCCUUGAUGAUGUGUAUCAUAUGGAAUCUUGCUUCGGUUCGUUUAGAGACAGUGUUAGCUUUGGUAGAAGAUAUGUGCACGGUUUAAGCCUAAUGCACCAUAGCCAAGAAACCAUUUUAGAUGCACACGAUGGUACUCGUAGUUGAAGAGGCUCAAGUGGAGGCUCGAUUUGGUCUGUUCGGAUAUAGUGCUAAUCUUGAUGCAAGAUAGUUGCACAGUUUGCAUGCAACGUACCAUAUGUUAAGAAAUCAAUUUGGACACACCCAAUGGAACUCCUAGAUGACGUGUGUCAUAUGGAAUCUCGGUUCGGUCUGUUGGAGACAAUGUUAGUUUCGGUGCAAGAUAGGUGCAUAGUUUGUGCCUAAUGCACCAUAGUCUAAGAAACCAAUUUUGACACACAUGUUUGUACUCUUAGAUGAAGAGGCUCAAGUGGAAGCUCGGUUCGGUCUGUUUGGAGAUAGUUCUAAUUUUGAUGCAAGAUAGGUGCACGGUUUCCAUGGAACAUACCAUAUGCUUGGAAAUCAAUUUGGAUGCACCCGAUGAAACUCCUUGAUGACGUGUGUCAUAUGGAAUCUUGCUUUGGUGUGUUUAGAAACAUUGUUAGUUUCGGUGCAAGAUAGGUGCAUAGUUUGCGCCUAAUGCACCAUAGUCUAAGAAACCAUUUUGGACGCAGUAUUUAGUACUACUGGGUGAAGAGGCUCAAGUGGAAGCUUGGUUCGGUCAGUUUGGAGAUAGUGCUAAUUCUUAUGCAAGGUAGGCGCAUGGUUUGCAUGGAACAUACCAUAUGCUUGGAAAUCAAUUUGGAUGCACCCGAUGGAACUCCUUGAUGACGUGUGUUAUAUGGAAUCUCGCUUCGGUCUAUUUGGAGACAUUGUUAGUUUCAAUGCAAGAUAGGUGCACAGUUUGAACUUAAUGCACCAUAGUCUAAGAAACUAUUUUGGACGCACUUGUUGGUACUCCAGGGUGAAGGGGCUCAAGUGGAUGCUCGGUUCGGUCUGUUUGGAGAUAGUGCUAAUCUUGAUGCAAGAUAGGUGCACGGUUGGAAAUCAAUCUGGACGCACAUGAUGGAACUCCUAGAUGACGUGUGUCAUACAAAAUCUUGCUUUGGUCUGUUUGGAAACAGGGUUAGUUUCGGUGCAAGAUAGGUGCAAGGUUUGCACAUAAUGCAGCAUAGGCUAACAAACCAUUUUGGACGCACCCGAUGGUACUCAUAGGUAAAAGGCUCAAGUGAAAGCUCGGUUUGGUCUAUUUGGAGAUAGUGCUAAUCUUGAUGCAAGAUAGAUGCACGGUCUGCAUGGAACGUACCCUAUCUUAGAAAUUAAUUUGGACACACCCGAUAGAACUCCUUGAUGACGUGUGUUAUAUGGAAUAUCGCUUUGGUGUGCUUAGAGAAGGUAUUAGUUUCGGUGCAAAAUAUGUGCACGGUUUGCGCCUAAUGCACCAAAGUCUAUGAAACCAUUUUGGAAGCACCUGUUGGUACUCCUAGGUGAAGAGGCUCAAGUGGAGGCUUGGUUCGGUCUGUUUAGAGAUAGUGCUAAUCUUGAUGCAAGAUAGGUGCAUGAUUUGUAUGGAACAUACCAUAUGCUCAGAAAUCAAUUUGGACGCACCAGAUGGAACUGCUAGAUGACAUAUGUCAUAUGGAAUCUCACUUCGGUCCGUUUAGAGACACUGUUAGUUUCGGUGCAAGAUAGGUGCACAGUUUGCACCUAAUGCACCAUAGGAUCAGAAACCAUUUUGGACGCACCCGAUGGUACUCCUAGAUCAAGGGGCUCAAGUGAAAGCUCAGUUUGGUCUAUUUGGAGAUAGUGCUAAUCUUGAUGCAAGAUAGAUGCACUGUUUGCAUUGAACAUACGAUAUGCUCAGAAAUCAAUUAGGAUGCACCUGAUAUAACUCCUUGAUGAUGUGUGUCAUAUGGAAUCUUGCUUCGGUUCGUUUAGAGAGAGUGUUAGUUUUGGUAGAAGAUAUGUGCACGGUUUACGCCUAAUGCAACAUAGGCUAAGAAACCAUUUUAGACGCACCCGAUGUUACUUGUAGUUGAAGAGGCUCAAGUGGAGGCUCGAUUUGGUCUCUUCGGAUAUAGUACUAAUCUUGAUGCAAGAUAGUCGCACAGUUUGCAUGCAACGUACCAUAUGUUAAGAAAUCAAUUUGGAUGCACCCAAUGGAACUCUUAGAUGACGUGUGUCAUGUGGAAUCUCGCUUCGGUUUGUUUGGAGACAAUGUUAGUUUCGGUGCAAGAUAGGUGCAUAGUUUGUGCCUAAUGCACCAUAGUCUAAGAAACCAUUUUUGACACACCUGUUUGUACUCCUAGAUGAAGAGGCUCAAGUGGAAGCUUGGUUCUGUCUAUUUGGAGAUAUUGCUAAUCGUGAUGCAAGUUAGGUGCACGGUUUGCAUGGAACAUACCAUAUGCUUGGAAAUCAAUUUAGAUGCACCCGAUGGAACUCCUUAAUGACGUGUGUCAUAUGGAAUCUCGCUUCGGUCCAUUUGGAGAUAUUGUUAGUUUCAGUGCAAGAUUGGUGCAUAGUUUGCACCUAAUGCACCAUUGUCUAAGAAACCAUUUUGGACGCACUUGUUGUUACUCCUAGGUGAAUGGGCUCAAGUGGAUGCUCGGUUCAGUCUGUUUGGAGAUAGUGCUAAUCUUAAUGCAAGAUAGGUGCACGGUUUGCAUGGAACAUACCAAAUGCUUGGAAAUCAAUCAGGACGCACAUGAUGGAACUCCUAGAUGACGUGUGUCAUACGAAAUAUUGCUACGGUCUGUCUGGAGACAGUGUUAGUUUUGGUGCAAGAUAGGUGCAAGGUUUGCACAUAAUGCAGCAUAGGCUAAGAAACCAUUUUGGACGCACCCGAUGGUACUCCUAGUUAAAAGGCUCAAGUGAAAGCUCGGUUUGGUCUUUUUGGAGAUAGUGCUAAUCUUGAUGCAAGAUAGAUGCACAGUCUGCAUGGAACAUACCAUAUGUUUAGAAGUUAAUAUGGACACACCCGAUAGAACUCCUUGGUGAUGUGUGUCAUAUGGAAUCUCGCUUUGGUGUGCUUAGAGACAGUAUUGUUUCGGUGCAAGAAAUGUGCACGGUUUGCGCCUAAUGCACCAAAGUCUAAGAAACCAUUUUGGAGGCACCUGUUAGUACUCCUAGGUGAAGAGGCUCAAGUGGAGGCUCGGUUCGGUCUGUUUAGAGAUAGUGCUAAUCUUGAUGCAAGAUAGGUGCACGGUUUGCAUGGAACAUACCAAAUGCUUGGAAAACAAUCCGAAAGCACGUGAUGGAACUCCUAGAUGACGUGUGUCAUACGAAAUCUUGCUUCGGUCUAUUUGGAGACAGUGUUAGUUUCGGUGCAGGAUAGGUGCAAGGUUUGCACAUAAUGCAGCAUAGGCUAGGAAACCAUUUUGGAUGCACCAGAUGGUACUCCUAGGUAAAAGGCUCAAGUGAAAGCUCGGUUUGGUCUAUUAAGAGAUAGUACUAAUCUUGAUGCAAGAUAGAUCUACGGUCUGCAUGGGACGUACCAUAUGCUUAGAAAUUAAUAUGGACACACCCGAUAGAACUCCUUGAUGACGUAUGUCAUAUGGAAUCUCACUUUGGUGUGCUUAGAGACAGUAUUAGUUUCGGUGCAAGAUAUGUGCACGGUUUGCGCCUAAUGUACCAAAGUCUAAGAAACCCUUUUGGAAACACCUGUUAGUACUCCUACGUGAAGAGGCUCAAGUGGAGGCUCGGUUCGGUCUAUUUAGAGAUUGUCAACGAAAGCUGGUUGGCAGUCUACCUUGGGGUAUACCCACGGUAGUAGUUUAUCGGUAGACGGUGCGCAAACUACGAACUCGAUGGUGACGCAAGACACGGACAAGCUUUUUAUCCAGGUUCGGCUGCCGAAUUGGCGUAAUACCUACAUCCUGCGUCUGAUUGUAUUGAUUUGUGUUGAGAGAAUAUGAUGUCCUAGGGGGGUCCCUUGCCUCUCCUUAUAUAGUCCGGAGGGCAGGGUUACAGAUCUGGAAACUAAUCCUAGUCGGUUACAAUUGCCAUAGAUAGUUCGGUAUCAAUUCCUAUUCUAACCGACUAGAAUCCUGCUUGAUCUCCACGUCUUGUUUCCUUGCGCGAAACUCCAAGUUGUCGGAUCAAACCUUGAGCUUGUCUCGUAAUGGGCCAAGCCUCCUGGCCCAAGUCUAGCCGUAAGGGUAUAGGGGUCUAUACCCCCACAGCUAGUCCCCGAGCACCAUGUAUUGUGAUGUAACACGUCGUCUUGAGCUUCUUCGAUCAGUGAGGCUUGACAUCUUCAGUAAACAAAAAAGUCACCCAAACAGUUGCAACGGUACUUUGACCAACUCAAAAGACAGUUGAUCAACAUUGUCAUCGAAGAAGCUGGUUGUUCGAAGAAUGCAUGGUGCUCUAAAUUAAAAAAGAUUUCUUUCUUGGUGAAGUGUGCCCACUUUACUUUUAAGAAAAUUAUAAACUUCAAAAAAGCAAGCAUAUUCACCGCAAGGUGAAGUGUGCCCACUUAGUCCCCGAGCCUGGUAGUAGGUGACAUAGGUACGUGGUGCCAGGGUCAAAAGAAAAGUCCUCAAAAAAUUCUGUAACUGAGAUGCAUCGCCAGAUGCAUCGUACCGAUGUAGUCCCCGAGCUUGCUGGAAGGCGAAGUAUGAGCCUUGUAGCAAGGUCUAAAAAAUUAAAUUUACCAGUCCGUCUGCAAUUGAAUAGACUGAUCGACCAGUCCCCGGGUGUACAACAGUAUGACCACCAGGACCCAAGCACCAAGUGCGCUCCUUAAAAUUCUGCGUUGCUAUGCUGGACGACCAGUCCCCGAGCAUCAAGCGCUUAGUGGUCGGUGCGAUAUUUAGAAGUUCCGAGCUGAUGGACUAGGCGACCAGUCCCCGAGCAUCAAGUGCUCGGUGGUCGGUGCAGUCUUUGAAGUUCCGAGCCGAUAGACUGGGCGACCAGUCCCCGAGCAUCAAGUGCUCGGUGGUCGGUACAGUCUUUGAAGUUCCGAGCCGAUAGACUAGGCGACCAUUCCCCGAGCAUCAAGUGCUCGGUGGUCGGUGCAGUCUUUGAAGUUCCGAGCCGAUAGACUGGGCGACCAGUCCCCGAGCAUCAAGUGCUCGGUGGUCGGUAUAGUGUUUGAAGUUCCGAGCCGAUAGACUGGGCGACCAGUCCCCGAGCAUCAAGUGCUCGGUGGUCGGUACAGUCCCUGGAUUGUUGACUCCCUACCAGUUUUGUCUGGUUGUUUUGAAAAUUUUCCACACAAAGAGUUGACGUGACGAGACCUUCUGACGGGAUGUCAGAUGCAUGCAUGAAAAGUUGCGCCUGGCAACUGUACAGCCGCCCUUUGCGCGGUUUGAGAAAAGGAAACCAUCAAUUUGUACGAAAACUCCGCCGCAUUAAUUGUCGAUAUUCAUUGAAAACCAAAACGCCGCAUCCGCCGUAUGGCCCGCCCACUUCCCGAGGAUGCGGGAAGUGCGAGGGGUGAAGUUGUGGGUUAUAAGAGCUCGACAGUUCCCCCUUUACUGAUUACCCUGCCAUUGCUUUCAAACCUUCCACUCUUGCCUCCUUCAACCAUCUACGCCUUCGAAUCCACUUCCUCGACUCCAAUGGCGAAGAGCGACUCCAAGAAGAGGGCCGAGCUGAUGGCCAGGGAGUGGAAGAAGUCCCGCAGGACCGCCAAGUCUCUUGGUGACCUCGUCGAUAUGGGGCUUCUGCACGGCCCAGAGCUCGGCGGCUGGAGAGCGCCGGAAGGAGAGAGCUUCCCCGACCCCCGUGCUGGUGAGAUCGUGGUGUUCGAAGACUUCGUUAAGAGGGGUUUUGGGGUUCCUUUUCAUCCCUUUCUUCAGGGUCUACUUCUAUAUUAUGAGAUCGGGAUUUGCAAUCUGCACCCGAACUCAAUCCUUCUUAUUUCUACUUUUAUCCAUUUGUGCGAAGCCUAUGUUGGCAUAGAGCCGCACUUCGACCUUUUUCGCUAUCUUUUUUGUUUAAGAAAGAAGGGAGCAGUUGGAGGCUCCAAGGUUGCUGGUGGAGUAUACCUCAACCUUCGCGACGGAAUGAAAAACCGCUACCUGCACUGUCCAUGGAACACUUCCCUGACCGAAUGGUACAGGAAGUGGUUCUACAUCUGGGAGGAACCGGGCAGCUCCACGUUCUGCGACGUGGGAUACAUCCCUGAGAAGAGGGUGAGCUGGACCGACCGCCCAGAGUUCGACGGUCAAGUGGCGGACCUCAUGAAGCUGAUCGACUGGUCGCGCCUGGACGGGCUUGGCGUGGUCGGCAACUUCAUUUGUCGUCGGGUGAUGCCCUGCCAGAAGAGGGUGCACUCGGCGUACGAGUACGCCGGAAGCCUAGACCCGACCAGGAUGCGACCUGAAGUCUUGGAGAAAGCGGAGGUGCAGCAGCUGUUGAACGAGCUGUUCAACUUCGCGGAUGGGAGCUUCGUUCGUGGCAGUGAUCGGGUGCAAGCCUUCAAGUUGGGGCGACCAGCACCUAAGGUAUCUUACUGAUUAUUUUUCCUUAGCAUUCGUUAUUGUCUGCUGCUGACUUAUUUUUGGUACUUCUUGCAGAUCGAAGAUGUGGAUCGGUGCACGGUGUAUGUGUCACUUGCACCCGGGAUGGAAAAUCCUGCGGGGGAGGAGCCGCCAGAGGAGGAUGCUCGGUGUACUCGGUACACCAGCGGCGAGGAGGACCAGGCCCGUCCCAUCCCGACCACCGAGGAGAGAGUGGCGGGGAAAAGGCCAAUGGCGGCGGAUCCUUCGCCUGCAGCGACGCUGCCAGCGGAGAGCAGCCAAGCACCGAAGCGCCGUCGGCUCGUCCGGAUUACCGACGACGAUGACGAGGAGGAGGAAGCCGCACCAUCGCUAGUCCGACGGCCUCGUAGCCGUCCGAACAGUGCGCCGACCACCACUGGUCGGGUGGCCAGCGAUCCUCCUUCGCCGCGCGUUACAGAGACGGGAGCCCAAGCGCCAACCAGCCGGGCUCGGAGGAGGUUCACCGCGACCCACCGUCGAUCGGAUCUGUAAGUGUUCGACUUACGUAUUUUGGCAUUUUUUUUUGCUGAAAAUGCUGCUUUGAUUUUUAGCGCGGCGUCGGAUGUCAACCCCGACGACGCCGCCGGACAAAGGGUGGCCGAGCCUGCUUGCGCUGCUGAAGACGCGGCGCCGCAGACCACAGAUCAGCCUGCGGCGGCAGCUGCUGCUACAGGCAUCGAGGGAGAGUCUGCCCCGGCGAGUAGCGUCGCGGAAGGGGAAGAUAGAGCACCAACCCCUCCCCCUUCCGAAGAGAGGAGGGUCCCAACGCCACCCCGGGCAGGGGCCUCUUCAUCCGCAGGCGCCUCGGGCCUGGCCCAGGGGCCGGUGAUGCCUUCGACCACAACUGGUGGCGGUGCAACGAACGAGGAAGCCCGGGCAUCCUCCGACGACGAGGUGGAAGAAAUUGAAGGUCGCCCCCGUGAUGGCCGCCAGCACGUGUAUGUGUGGCGCCAACGCGGGGACCACUUCAUCGGGCAUGAGGAGCUCGCGGAGACGGAGGAGGCCGACAGAGUGGAGCGCGCGGCCAAGCGACUCGUGGAUGAAGUCAAGGUAAGUGAUCCUUAGCGCUGUUCGACACUUGUUAUGUUGUAUUGUUGGGUCGACACAUGUUUUCCAUGUAGGGCGCAAUGAAAAUGGCGAAGUACCGAAAGAGGUGCUUCGACCAAAUAGAAGGUAUUGUGGCCGAGAAUAAGGCCCUGUCCGCAGAGGUGGACCGUCUGCGGUCGGAGAUUGGGGAGAAAGUAGCCGAGAAGAGCGCUCAGGAAGGGCACUGUCUCGAGCUUACCCGACGCUUAGCCGACCAGUAUCGGCUGCGAGAAGGUUAGUCUCGUACUUUUAGGCGGCUGUAUGUGACCGCGUUAUUUGAAUUUGCUGAUCUGGGAAUUAUUCGUGUAGACAUGGAGGAGGAGGUCGCGCGCCUUUGGCAGGAGAAAGAGCAGCUCAGCCAAGAGCUUGCCGGGGCACUGGAGGCCGGACGCCGAGCAGAGGAGGAGCUGAGCCGGAAGGACCGGGAGUUGUCUGGUAAUACGCACCGCCUCCGUUAUUCGUCGUUUAUCUCUCUUUUAUCUUUGAUAUACUGAAUCUAACAUCUUGCUUGACUUGCAAUGCUCAAGGUGAACGCCAAGAAGCACCUGGACGAGCUGGUCAGGGACCGGGACUCCUGGAAGGUCAAUUGUUGUAAGAUCUGGAAAGGAGUGUCCCCAGUCCUGGACUUGAUCAGCCCCGAGCUCCCGGAGAGCCAGCCCCGCGCGCCCAAACUGACGCCAGUUGAAAAGGCGCAACGGGCGUGGGACUGGCUUCAGCAGUUCGUGAAGGACGCUGGGGAGUUUGCUGGUGCGCACAUCCUUAGCAUGGUGCGCGCCCACUACCCCCUGGUCGAUUUGACCAGGCUGGAGAAGGGGUACCCCAAGGAGGUCGGCCCGUAGGAGGCGGACGAGCUUCGGGGUGGUCUGCUGGACUUGUCGUCGACGGUAAUCGGCGACAUCAACCUAUGUGGAACGGCCACUCCCCCCGACCAGCCAGGUUCAGACAGGUCGGCCAGGGAGCUGUCGGGAGCGUCUAUUGCGGGAGAUGGGCGGUCGACGCCUGCGGUCUCGACCAGCCAGGCGCCGGUGGCCCCGACCCCUUCGUCCGGGCAGCAAGGCCAGGCGGGUGAUCAGCCCGAGCAGUAGGCCAGUAGGAUAGCCUGUAGGAGUAGGCUAGUGUCCGCCCGUCAGGGUGUUUAUUGUAAACUUUGUAUGUAAAGUUUGUAAUUAAAUUUUGAAUUUGUCAUGACUACUAUUUUGAGCGCUGUGAAGUUGUCGGAGUGACGUGUCACUGUGUUUGAUUCAUGGUCGUUAAGAGUUUCCGUCGCAGAGGAUAUUGUUGUUCUUCGCCGAAAACUCUACGUGUAAACAAAGUAUAGCCAAAAAAGAAAAACUUUUAUUACUGCCAACUAUAAGAGACUUACAAGCAAAAGUUACUGGAACUUAUGGAUAAAAUCGGCGCAGUUUGUCUAUGUGCCAAGAGUUAGGCACGCGUGUUCCAUCUGGAUACGCCAAUCUGUAGGAUGUAGGUCGUGUGACUUCAGCGACCACAAAAGGUCCCUCCCAAGGAGUGGCUAGCUUGUGCAUUCCUUCCUGGCUUGUUUUCCACCUGAGUACCAGAUCGCCGACCACGAAAGAACGGUCCUUUAUGUUCCUGUUAUGGUACCGCCUGACUGCCGCAAGAUACUUUGCUGUUCGGAGACAAGAAUUCAGACGCUUUUCCUCCAUGCAGUUGAUUUCGAGUUCUCUGGCGCUGUCGGCUGUUGACUGGUCGAAAUUUUCAAUCCUAGGAGAACUAAAGGUUAUGUCAGAUGGUAGGACUGCCUCGGCGCCGUAGACCAUGAAGUAGGGUGACACUCCCGUGUUCCGACUAGUCUGGGUUCGUAGACCCCAGACCACAGCUGGUAACUCUUUCAUCCAUCGACCAGGUGCUUUGUCGUUCUCGGUGUACAGCCUUUUCUUGAGGGCGUCAAUGAUCAUUCCGUUCGCACGCUCGACCUGACCAUUUGCCCGUGGGUGUGCUACUGACACGUAUUUUAUGACUAUGCCCCUAUCAUCGCAGAAGUCCCAAAAUGCAGUGCCAGUAAACUGAGUACCCAGGUCGGUGAUUAUGCUGUUCGGGAUCCCGAAUCUGUGUAUGAUUUGACUGAGGAAUUCCACAGCCUUCUCGGAGGUCGCUUUUACCAGUGGCAUGUAUUCGAUCCAUUUUGAGAACUUGUCGAUUAAUACAAAGACGAACUUGAAUUUACCAGGGGCCGGUUUAAAUGGCCCGAUCAUGUCGAGUCCCCAGCAGGCAAAAGGCCAGGGUGACGGGAUAGUUUGAAUCUCGUGAGCAGGUACGUGGGUCCUUUUAGCGAAGAACUGGCACCCCUCACAGUGUCGGACCAGUUUUUCGGCGUCGUUGACCGCGGUUGGCCAAUAAAAUCCUGCUCGGAAAGCUUUACCGACCAGCGUUUUGGAUGCAGCGUGGUUGCCGCAGGAUCCGGCAUGUAUGUCUUCGAGGAGUUUGAUGCCAUCAUCUUGAGAUAUGCAUUUGAGUAGUACCUCGGAGCUUGCAUUUUUUCGCAUGAGUUUGCCAUCCAUCAGUAUGUAAUUCUUUGAUCGUCGAAUGAGGCGUUCGUUCUCUGUUUUGUCCUGAAAACCCGUACCAUCCGAUAUGUACUUGAUGAACGGGGCACGCCAAUCACGACCACUGGUUGUCGGAGUGGCAUCGUCUAUGAGCAUGGUUUCCGUGGGUUGCUUUUCGACCAGGCCAGAGCCCACGCUUGGCUCAUGGAUGUUCUGGAUGAAAACACCCCGUGGGAUCGGGGCCUGAGAUGACCCUAACUUUGACAACGCAUCUGCUGCCUGGUUCUUAUCCCGGACCACGUGGAUGUACUCUAUGCCGUAGAAGUUGGUUUCCCAUUUGCGAAUUUCUUUGCAGUAAAGAUCCAUCUUCUCGUGGGUCGCAUCCCACUCCUUGUUGAGCUGGUUGAUAACUAAAGCAGAGUCGCCAUAGACAUAGAGGCGUUUGACUCCCAGCUCGACGGCUAGCCUUAUGCCAUGUAGGCAUGCUUCGUAUUCGACGACGUUGUUUGAUGCCGGGAAAAGGAUCCUAAGGACGUAACGCAGCUUGUCCUUGUUAGGUGAUAUGAAGAGUAUCCCAGCGCCGGCGCCGUUGAUGUUCAAGGACCUGUCAAAAAACAUUAACCAGUGGUCGGAGAUGUCGGGAACGGGAGGCUCGUUGAGAUCCGUCCAUUCAACAAUGAAAUCGACCAGGGCCUGAGACUUGACUGUGGUGCGGCUCUGGAAUUCCAGGGAAAAUGGGCAUAACUCCAUCGCCCAUUUUACAAUUCUACCGUUGGCGUCUUUAUUGCGCAGAAUGUCCCCAAGAGGAAAGCUGGUGGUUACCAAGACUCGAUGGCCGUCGAAGUAGUGCUUCAGCUUUCUUGAUGUUAUUAGAAUAGCGUACAUGAGCUUCUGUAUUUGUGGAUACCUGGCCUUGGAUUCGUUUAGGACUUCGCAUAUGAAGUAAUCGGGUCUCUGGACCUUGUAGACGUGACCUGGCUCAUCUCGCUCGACCACUAUUGCCGUGGAGACAACCCUGUCGGUUGCAGCAAUGUAAAGGAGUAGGUCUUCAUUGGGCUGAGGUGCUGUAAGAACAGGCGGGGAAGUGAGGAAAGCCUUAAGCUGGGUGAACGCAGCGUCGGCUUCCUCUGUCCAGGAGAACUUUUCCGACGCCUUCAAGAGUUUGAAGAAAGGGAGGCCUUUUUCUCCUAGUCUUGAGAUGAAACGACUGAGCGCGGCCAUACACCCGGUGAGCUUCUGAAUGUCUUUGGCAUUUUUAGGUGGUCGCAUGUCAAGUACUGCUUUUACUUUUGAGGGAUUCGGCCGUAUGCCGUCGUGACUGGCAACGUUGCCGAGCAGUAGACCAGAAGGAACGCCGAAGAUGCACUUCUUGGGGUUAAGCUUCCACUUGUAUCUAUUAAGCGCCUUAAAGGUUCGAUCUAGGUUGUCGAUUAGGGUGUUUGCAUCUCUUGUUUUGACGACCACGUCAUCGACAUAGGCCUCGACGAGGUCAUCACGAAUCUCGUCGUGGAGGCAUUGCUGGAUGGCCCGUUGAUAGGUGGCUCCGGCGUUUUUGAGUCCGAAUGACAUGGUCGUGUAGCAAUAUGCGCCGAAAGGAGUAAUGAAAGAUGUUCUUAUCUGAUCGUCCUCCUUUAGCGAGAUCUGGUGAUAACCAGAGUAGCAGUCUAGAAAAGAGAGGAGUUCGCAUCCGGCCGUUGAGUCGACCACCUCGUCGAUGCGAGGGAGACCAAAAGGAUCUUUAGGACAGUGUUUAUUGAGAUCAGUGUAAUCAACGCACAUUCUCCAUUCAUUAUUCUUUUUGCGUACAAGAACCGGAUUGGCGAGCCAAUCGGGGUGAUACACUUCUUUUAUGAAUCCGGCUGCUAGAAGCCGUGUUAUUUCUGUCCUAAUAGCCUCCUUUUUGUCACGAGCGAACCGUCGCAGCUUUUGCUUGAUUGGUCUUGCGGUCUUCGAGACAUUUAAGGAGUGCUCGAUCAGGUUUCGUGGGACGCUAGGCAUGUCUGCGGGUUUCCAUGCGAAAACGCUCACGUUGUCCCUUAGAAACCUGACGAGCGCGUCUUCCUAUUUUGGAUCCAGAUUGGCCCCGAUGAGGGCCGUCUUCUCGGGGCUGCCGUCGACCAGCUGCACUUCUUUGUACUCCUUGGAUUUUGAGUUCUUUCUGGCGGUCUCCUGCUCGGGUAAUGGGAGCUGGUCGGGAGGCAGCUGCGUGGCUUGGGCUGCUGUUUCUGCCAUGCGAACGGAGAGGUCGAUUGCCUCGGUAAUCUUGAAGCUUUCCUCUUCGCAGGUAUACGCGGUGUAGACGUUGCCUCUGACGGUUAGGACACCCUUCUCCGUAGGCAUUUUAAGGACCAGGUAUGAGUAGUGCGGGACUGCCAUGAACUUUGUCAACGAUGGUCGGCCCAGUAUGGCGUGGUAGGUCCCGUCGAAGUCCGCGACCACAAAGUUGAUGAACUCUGUCCGAAAGUGGUCUGGUGUGCCGAAUUGGACAGGCAAUGUUAUCUGUCCGAGGGGCACUGAACUCUGACCUGGCAAAACCCCCCAGAAUUGAGCAUCGUAGGGUUUUAGUUGUGCGGGAGAUAUUUUGAGGGCGGGCAGACUGUUGUGGAAGAGGAUGUCGAUGGAGCUUCCCCCGUCCACGAGCACGCGCUCGAAUCUGAUGCUGUUGAUGCAAGGGUCCAAGAUCAGAGGGAAACGACCUGGCUCUGGGAUAGCGGCCCAUUGAUCCUUCCUGCAGAAUGAGAUCUCCCUGUGCGACCAUGGGGGAAAUUUUGGGUCUGCGAUCAGCCCGUCCGUGCUGUCUAUGUUGAGGCAGGCUCUCUUUAAUAGCUUUCUCUCUCGCUUAGAUUCGAUGGAGACCUUGCCCCCGAAGAUGGAGUGGACCACGUCAGUGGGGCUGACGUAUUGGUGUCGGGGGUCCCUAUCUUGGUCCUCGUCCUCGUCUUUGUGGUCAUGCCCGUCUCGCUUGCCAUUUUUCUUGGUGGAGUCCUCUUGGGCGGCCCGCCGUGUGUAGAUGCUUUUGAGGACACGACACUCCUCCAUGGUAUGAUUAGACUUUGGAUGCAGUUGGCACGGUCCCUUCAACGUUUUGUUGUAGUCUUCUUGGUAGUCCCGCCGCCCGUUGGGACGUUUGACCGUAUUCACUUCAUGGUCGUAGUCGCGGGGGCGCUUUCCUCUGUAAUCGUCGCGAUUGUCGCGGCGCCGAUCCCAACCUUCUCUGUGAUCGCGGUUGUCGGGGCGGCGGUGGUUCCUGUUGUCGUAGCGACCGCGACCGUCAUCUCGCCGGGGAGGCUGGUCGGGACCUCUCGCAUCGUCUCAGAUUAGUUUCUCUGCGUCGUCGGCGUCGGCGUAAUUUUUAGCCGUGGCAAGGAGUUCCGCCACCGUUGUUGGCCGUUUGCGCAACAGCUUGUUCCUCAGCGCUUCAUGGAAACGCAAGCCCUUGAUGAAGGCAGAGAUGGCCUCGUCGUGGGAAAUCUUCAGGAUCUUAAGGUGCAUAUCCGAGAAUCGUCGGAUGUAAUCGCGCAGAGGUUCAUUCUUCCUGUCCCUUAUCCUUUCGAGGUCGUACUUGUUUCUAGGUUGCUCGCAUGUGGCGAUGAAGUUGUCGAUGAAAGCCUGGCGUAGCUCUUCCCAAGAGUCGAAGGAGUCCUCGGGCAAGCCAAGGAGCCACUGAUGACUAGCCUGGUCGAGGACUACAGGGAAGUAGUUGGCCAUGACGUGCUCAUCUCCCGCUGCUGAUCGGACGGCAAUUUCAUAGAGAGUGAUCCAGUUCUUUGGAUUUUCCUUGCCGUCGUAUUUUUUAAGUAUUUUGAGCUUGAAAUUGCGGGGCCACACGACCUGGCGGAGGUGUGAGGAGAACUGUCUUAGGCCCGGGGGGCCGUGCGUUGCAUCGUACUCGAUACGGCGUAGGUUUUCGUGGACUGCCCUCUCUGUGGCACGCCUGUUGAUGCGGUCCCGGGCAUCUUUGGGAGGGAUGUUGUAUCGGAGAUCCCUGUGCUGGUUUACUUCUUGACCGCGCCUGCGGUUCUGCUCGCGGUGACAGUUAGUGUCCCGACCACCAUCGUUACGCCGUGAAUCUUUUCGAUGGUUGUCGGGAGAGCGGCUGCGGUGAUGCCUGCUGGGAGGCGGUGAGGUCCGGCUACGAUUGGUCUGGUCGGAGGUGGCUUCCGUAUAAGAGACGUCCUGGACUCUUUUGAGCAGAGUGGCUGUCUGUCCCAUUGCGGCAAUCAGGAGUGCUCGGACGCUGGUUCGGACUCCCUAGCACUCAGGGGUAUCAAGGAGCCGAUCUAGAUUAGCCAUGGCGACAGCCACGUUUGCGCUUGGCGUUUUGUAGACUGGCUGGUCCCCGACCAUGUCAAAAGCGUCGCUGAGGUUAUGCGGUGGAAUUUGUCGUUGCUCAUCUGCGCGUCGUCGGGCGCGAUCGGCGUUGCGCUGCUCGCGGAGCUGCCUCUGCUCGUCCGUUUCUCCAUCAACGACCGGCUCGUCGGCGCUGACGUUAAAAACAAUGUCCCCUCGCCGGGGGCGAAACACCGGGAAACGAGGGAAACCCGGAGGGUGUGAAGGCAAAUCCAGGUCGUAGUCCUCGUCUUCGGAGUUUAUAACUUCGGUGGGGACGGAACCGGUGCUUGAGUUGGUGCUGGAGGCCUGACCGUCCCGUAGCUCUCGGAUCGUCACCAUGUUGACGUAGUGACGAGCAGGUCGAUCGUUCCUUUUCGGCGGCCAACCUGCCUUGCUGAAAACGGAUUGGACAUGCCGUGAGUAGAGAGAGGCUGAGUUGUUCAGGCCACAAGGAUAAUCUUCCUCCUUAAGCUUGACGGUCCAUCCUGAGGGAGUUGAAGUUAUCGUCAGAGACGUUCUCAGCCGUUCGUGUGUAACGACACGAGUUGGCCGGCGGAAUUUGAAGAAAUCCGUUGAAGCGGCUUGAUCAGCAUGGCGCAGGAUUCCAUCUACUAGUUGGGAGGCUUCAAGUAGCUUGGAAUCAGCACGAUCAAGCGCUUGAAGAAGGUCCGAGCAGUCGAUCUUCUUUCCCUUGUAGAGCGGGAACGGUGGUCGGGCGCUCGGUGCCACCAUCCGGGUGGUCGGAGGCGACGUGAUCUCAGAUUGGAUCUGAGUUUCCUUCGAAACCGUGGUCGUAAGGCCACCGCCGCGCGUCGUCCACGUGAUCUGGCCGACGGUGAACGUGAGGCCUCCGGGCACGGUCGCGGAAGCUGGGAUUGUAACCAUCUUGUUCCCCGGAGAAGUUGCACGCACACCCCCUACCUGGCGCGCCACUGUCGACGAAAGCUGGUCGGCAGUCUACCUUGGGGUAUACCCAUGGUAGUAGUUUAUCGGUAGACGGUGCGCAAACUACGAACUCGAUGGUGACGCAAGGCACGGACAAGCUUUUUAUCCAGGUUCGGCCGCCGAAUUGGCGUAAGACCUACGUCUUGCGUCUGAUUGUAUUGAUUUGUGUUGAGCGAAUAUGAUGUCCUAGGGGGGUCCCUUGCCUCUCCUUAUAUAGUCCGGAGGGCAGGGUUACAGAUCUGGAAACUAAUCCUAGUCGGUUACAAUUGCCAUAGAUAGUUCGAUAUCAAUUCCUAUUCUAACCGACUAGAAUCCUGCUUGAUCUCCACGUCUUGUUUCCUUGCGCGAAACUCCAAGCUGUCGGAUCAAACCUUGAGCUUGUCUCGUAAUGGGCCAAGCCUCCUGGCCCAAGUCUAGCCGUAAGGGUAUAGGGGUCUAUACCCCCACAGAGAUAGUGCUAAUGUUGAUGCAAGAUAGGUGCACGAUUUGCAAAGAACAUACCAUAUGCUCAGAAAUCAAUUUGGACGCACCAGAUGGAACUCCUAGAUGACAUGUGUCAUAUGGAAUCUCACUUCGGUCCGUUUACAGACAGUGUUAGUUUCGGUGCAAGAUAGGUGCACGGUUUGCACCUAAUGCACCAUAGGAUAAAAACCAUUUUGGACGCUUCCGAUGGUAUUCCUAGGUCAAGGGGCUAAAGUAAAAGCUCAGUUUGGUCUGUUUGGAGAUAGUGCUAGUCUUGAUGCAAGAUAGAUGCACGGUUUGCAUGGAACAUACGAUAUGCUCAGAAAUCAAUUAGGACGCACCUGCUAACUCCUUGAUGAUGUGUGUCAUAUGGAAUCUUGCUUCUGUUCGUUUAGAGACUGUUAGUUUUGGUAGAAGAUAUAUGCACGGUUUACGCCUAAUGCACCAUUGGCUAAGAAACCAUUUUAGACGCACACGAUAGUACUCGUAGUUGAAGAGGCUCAAGUGGAGGCUCAAUUUGGUCUGUUCAGAUAUAGUGCUAAUCUUGAUGCAAGAUAGUUGCACAGUUUGCAUGCAACGUACAAUAUGUUAAGAAAUCAAUUUGGACGAACCCAAUAUAACUCCUAGAUGACGUGUCAUAUGGAAUCUCGCUUCGGUCUAUUUGGAGACAAUGUUAGUUUCGGUGCAAGAUAGGUGCAUAGUUUGUGCCUAAUGCACCAUAGACUAAGAAACCAUUUUUGACGCACCUGUUUGUACUCCUAGAUGAAGAGGCUCAAGUGGAAGCUCGGUUCGGUCUGUUUCGAGAUAGUGCUAAUCUUGAUGCAAGACAGGUGCACGGUUUGCAUGGAACAUACCAUAGCUUGGAAAUCAAUUUGGAUGCACCCGAUGGAUCUCCUCGAUGAUGUGUGUCAUAUGGAAUCUCGCUUUGGUCUAUUUAGAUGCAGUGUUAGUUUCGGUGCAAGAUAUGUGCAUGGUUUCCGCCUAAUGCACCAUAGUCUAGGAAACCAUUUUGGAAGCAUCUGUUGCUACUUCGGUGAAAAGGCUCCAGUGGAAGCUCGGUUUGAUCUGUUUGGAGAUAGUGCUAAUCUUGAUGCAAGAUAGGUGCAUGAUUUGCAAGGAACAUACCAUAUGCUUAGAAAUCAAUUGGGACGCACCCAAUGGAACUCCUAGAUGACAUGUGUCAUAUGGAAUCUUGCUUCUGUCCGUUUGUAGACAUUGUAAGUUUUAGUUCAAGAUAGGUGCAUAGUUUGCGCCUAAUGCACCAUAGUCUAAGAAACCAUUUUGGACGCACUAUUUGGUACUGUUGGGUGAAGAGGCUCAAGUGGAAGCUUGGUUCGGUCAGUUUGGAGAUAGUGCUAAUCCUUAUGCAAGGUAGGUGCAUGCUUUGCAUGGAACAUACCAUAUGCAUGGAAAUCAAUUUGGAUGCACCCGACGGAACUCCUUGACGACGUGUGUCAUAUUGAAUCUCGUUUCGGUCCAUUUGGAGACAUUGUUAGUUUCGGUGCAAGAUAGGUGCACAGUUUGCACCUAAUGCACCAUAGUCUAAGAAACAAUUUUGGACGCACCCGAUGGUACUCCUAGGUGAAGGGGCUCAAGUGGAUGCUCGGUUCGGUCUGUUUGGAGAUAGUGCUAAUCUUGAUGAAAGAUAGGUGCACGGUUUGCAUGGAACAUACCAAAUGCUUGGAAAUCAAUCUGGACGCACAUGAUGGAACUUCUAGAUGACGUGUGUCAUACAAAAUCUUGCUUUGGUCUGUUUGGAGACAGUGUUAGUUUCGGAGCAAGAUAGGUGCAAUGUUUGCACAUAAUGCAGCAUAGGCUAAGAAACCAUUUUGGACGCACCCGAUGGUACUCCUAGGUAAAAGGCUCAAGUGAAAGCUCGGUUUGGUCUAUUUGGAGAUAGUGCUAAUCUUGAUGCAAGAUAGAUGCACGGUCUGCAUGGAACGUACCAUUUGCUUAGAAAUUGAUUUGGACACACCCGAUAGAACUCCUUAAUGACAUGUGUCAUAUGGAAUCUCACUUUGGUGUGCUUAGAGGUAGUAUUAGUUUUGGUGCAAGAUAUGUGCACGGUUUGCGCCUAAUGCACCAAAGUCUAAGAAACCAUUUUGGAAGCACCUGUUGGUACUCCCAGGUGAAGAGGCUCAAGUGGAGGCUCGGUUCGGUCUGUUUAGAGAUAGUGCUAGUCUUGAUGGAAGAUAGGUGCACGAUUUGCAUGGAACAUACCAUAUGCUUGGAAAUCAAUUUGGAUGCACCCGAUGGAACUCCUUGAUGACGUGUGUCAUUUGGAAUCUCGCUUCGGUCCAUUUGGAGACAUUGUUAGUUUCGGUGCAAGACUGCACAGUUUGCACCUAAUGCACCAUAGUCUAAGAAACCAUUUUGGACGCACUUGUUGGUACUAUUAGGUGAAGGGGCUCAAGUGGAUGCUCGGUUCGGUCUGUUUGGAGAUAGUGCCAAUCUUGAUGCAAGAUAGAUGCAUGGUUUGCAUGGAACAUAUGAUAUGCUUAGAAAUCAAUUAGGACGCACAUGAUAUAACUCCUUGAUGAUUUGUAUCAUAUGGAAUCUUGCUUCGGUUCGUUUAGAGAUAGUGUUAGUUUUGGUAGAAGAUAUGUGCACGGUUUACGCCUAAUGCACCAUAGGCUAAUAAACCAUUUUAGACGCACCCGAUGGUACUCGUAGUUGAAGAGGCUCAAGUGGAGGCUCGAUUUGCUCUGUUCGUAUAUAGUGCUAAUCUUGAUGCAAGAUAGUUGCAUAGUUUGCAUGCAACGUACCAUAUGUUAAGAAAUCAAUUUGGACGCACAUAAUGGAACUUCUAGAUGACGUGUGUCAUAUGGAAUCUCGCUUCGGUCUGUUUGGAGACAAUGUUAGUUUCGGUGCAAGAUAGGUGCAUAGUUUUUUUCUAAUGCACCAUAGUCUAAAAAAACCAUUUUUGACGCACCUGUUUGUACCCCUAGAUGAAGAGGCUCAAGUGGAAACUCGGUUCGGUCUGUUUGGAGAUAGUGCUGUGCUAAUCUUGAUGCAAGAUAGGUGCACGGUUUGCAUGGAACAUAUGCUUGGAAAUCAAUUUGGAUGCACCCGAUGGAUCUCCUCGACGAUGUGUGUCAUAUGGAAUCUCGCUUUGGUCUAUUCAGAUGCAGUGUUGGUUUCGGUGCAAGAUAUGUGCAUAGUUUGCGCCUAAUGCACCAUAGUCUAAGAAACCAUUUUGGAAGCAUCUAUUGGUACUUCGGUGAAGAGGCUCAAGUGGAAGCUCGGUUUAAUCUGUUUGGAGAUAGUGCUAAUCUUGAUGCAAGAUAGGUGCAUAAUUUGCAAGGAACAUACCUAUGCUUAGAAAUCAAUUUGGACGCACCCAAUGGAACUCCUAGAUGACGUGUGUCAUAUGGAAUCUUGCUUUUGUCCGUUUGUAGACAUUGUAAGUUUUAGUUCAAGAUAGGUGCACAGUUUGCGCCUAAUGCACCAUAGGUUAAGAAACCAUUUUGGACGCACUAUUUGGUACUCCUGUGUGAAGAGGCUCAAGUGGAAGCUUGGUUCGGUCUGUUUGAAGAUAGUGUUAAUCCUUACUUAAGGUAGGUGGAUGGUUUGCAUGGAACAUACCAUAUGCUUGGAAAUCCAUUUGGAUGCACCCGAUGGAACUCCUUGAUGACGUGUGUCAUAUGGAAUCUCGCUUCGGUCCAUUUGGAGACAUUGUUAGUUUCGGUGCAAAAUAGGUGCACAGUUUGCACCUAAUGCACCAUAGUCUAAGAAACCAUUUUAGACGCACUUGUUGGUACUGCUAGGUGAAGGGCCUCAAGUGGUUGCUCAGUUCGGUCUGUUUGGAGAUAAUGCUAAUCUUGAUGGAAGAUAGGUGCACGGUUUGCAUGGAACAUACCAAAUGCUUGGAAAACAAUCUGAAAGCACAUGAUGGAACUCCAAGAUGACGUGUGUCAUACGAAAUCUUGCUUCGGUCUGUUUGGAGACAGUGUUAGUUUCGGUGCAGGAUAGGUGCAAGGUUUGCACAUAAUGCAGCAUAGGCUAGGAAACCAUUUUGGAUGCACCCGAUGGUACUCCUAGGUAAAAGGCUCAAGUGAAAGCUCGGUUUGGUCUAUUAGGAGAUAGUACUAAUCUUGAUGCAAGAUAGAUCUACGGUCUGCAUGGGACGUACCAUAUGCUUAGAAAUUAAUAUGGACACACCCGAUAGAACUCCUUGAUGACGUAUGUCAUAUGUAAUCUCACUUUGGUGUGCUUAGAGACAGUAUUAGUUUCGGUGCAAGAUAUGUGCACGGUUUGCGCCUAAUGUACCAAAGUCUAAGAAACCCUUUUGGAAAGACCUUUUAGUACUCCUAGGUGAAGAGGCUCAAGUGGAGGCUCGGUUCGGUCUGUUUAGAGAUAGUGCUAAUGUUGAUGCAAGAUAGGUGCACGAUUUGUAUGGAACAUACCAUAUGCUCAUAAAUCAAUUUGGACGCACCAGAUGGAACUCCUAGAUGACAUGUGUCAUAUGGAAUCUCACUUUGGUCCGUUUACAGACAGUGUUAGUUUUGGUGCAAGAUAGGUGCACGGUUUGCACCUAAUGCACCAUAGGAUAUAAAAAACCAUUUUGGACGCUUCCGAUGGUAUUCCUAGGUCAAGGGGCUAAAGUAAAAGCUCGGUUUGGUCUGUUUGGAGAUAGUGCUAGUCUUGAUGCAAGAUAGAUGCACGGUUUGCAUGGAACAUACGAUAUGCUCAGAAAUCAAUUAGGACGCACCUGCUAACUCCUUGAUGAUGUGUGUCAUAUGGAAUCUUGCUUCGGUUCGUUUAGAGACAGUGUUAGUUUUGGUAGAAGAUAUGUGCACGGUUUACGCCUAAUGCACCAUAGGCUAAGAAACCAUUUUAGACGCACACGAUAGUACUCGUAGUUGAAGAGGCUCAAGUGGAGGCUCGAUUUGGUCUGUUUAGAUAUAGUGCUAAUCUUGAUGCAAGAUAGUUGCACAGUUUGCAUGCAACGUACAAUAUGUUAAGAAAUCAAUUUGGACGCACCCAAUAUAACUCCUAGAUGACGUGUGUCAUAUGGAAUCUCGCUUCGGUCUAUUUGGAGACAAUGUUAGUUUCGGUGCAAGAUAGGUGCAUAGUUUGUGCCUAAUGCACCAUAGACUAAGAAACCAUUUUUGACGCACCUGUUUGUACUCCUAGAUGAAGAGGCUCAAGUGGAAGCUCGGUUCGGUCUGUUUGGAGAUAGUGCUAAUCUUGAUGCAAGAUAGGUGCACGGUUUGCAUGGAACAUACCAUAGCUUGGAAAUCAAUUUGGAUGCACCCGAUGGAUCUCCUCGAUGACGUGUGUCAUAUGAAAUCUCACUUUGGUCUAUUUAGAUGCAGUGUUUGUUUCGGUGCAAGAUAUGUGCAUGGUUUCCGCCUAAUGCACCAUAGUCUAAGAAACCAUUUUGGAAGGAUCUGUUGCUACUUCGGUGAACAGGCUCAAGUGGAAGCUCGGUUUGAUCUGUUUGGAGAUAGUGCUAAUCUUGAUGCAAGAUAGGUGCAUGAUUUGCAAGGAACAUACCAUAUGCUUAGAAAUCAAUUGGGACGCACCCAAUGGAACUCCUAGAUGACACGUGUCAUAUGGAAUCUUGCUUCUGUUCGUUUGUAGACAUUGUAAGUUUUAGUUCAAGAUAGGUGCACAGUUUGCGCCUAAUGCACCAUAGUCUAAGAAACCAUUUUGGACGCACUAUUUGGUACUCUUGGGUGAAGAGGCUCAAGUGGAAGCUUGGUUCGGUCAGUUUGGAGAUAGUGCUAAUCCUUAUGCAAGGUAUGUGCAUGCUUUGCAUGGAACAUACCAUAUGCAUGUAAAUCAAUUUGGAUGCACCCGACGGAACUCCUUGACGACGUGUGUCAUAUGGAAUCUCGUUUCGGUCCAUUUGGAGACAUUGUUAGUUUCGGUGCAAGAUAGGUGCACAGUUUGCACCUAAUGCACCAUAGUCUAAGAAACCAUUUUGGACGCACCCGAUGGUACUCCUAGGUGAAGGGGCUCAAGUGGAUGCUCGGUUCGGUCUGUUUGGAGAUAGUGCUAAUCUUGAUGAAAGAUAGGUGCACGGUUUGCAUGGAACAUACCAAAUGCUUGGAAAUCAAUCUGGACGCACAUGAUGGAACUUCUAGAUGACGUGUGUCAUACAAAAUCUUGCUUUGGUCUGUUUGGAGACAGUAUUAGUUUCAGAGCAAGAUAGGUGCAAGGUUUGCACAUAAUGCAGCAUAGGCUAAGAAACCAUUUUGGACGCACCCGAUGGUACUCCUAGGUAAAAGGCUCAAGUGAAAGCUCGGCUUGGUCUAUUUGGAGAUAGUGCUAAUCUUGAUGCAAGAUAGAUGCACGGUUUGCAUGGAACGUACCAUUUGCUUAGAAAUUGAUUUGGACACACCCGAUAGAACUCCUUAAUGACGUGUGUCAUAUGGAAUCUCGCUUUGGUGUGCUUAGAGGUAGUAUUAGUUUUGGUGCAAGAUAUGUGCACGGUUUGCGCCUAAUGCACCAAAGUCUAAGAAACCAUUUUGGAAGCACCUGUUGGUACUCCUAGGUGAAGAGGCUCAAGUGGAGGCUCGGUUCGGUCUGUUUAGAGAUAGUGCUAGUCUUGAUGGAAGAUAGGUGCACGAUUUGCAUGGAACAUACCAUAUGCUUGGAAAUCAAUUUGGAUGCACCCGAUGGAACUCCUUGAUGACGUGUGUCAUUUGGAAUCUCGCUUUGGUCCAUUUGGAGACAUUGUUAGUUUCGGUGCAAGACAGCACAGUUUGCACCUAAUGCACCAUAGUCUAAGAAACCAUUUUGGACGCACUUGUUGGUACUAUUAGGUGAAGGGGCUCAAGUGGAUGCUCGGUUCGGUCUAUUUGGAGAUAGUGCCAAUCUUGAGGCAAGAUAGAUGCAUGGUUUGCAUGGAACAUAUGAUAUGCUUAGAAAUCAAUUAGGACGCACCUGAUAUAACUCCUUGAUGAUUUGUAUCAUAUGGAAUCUUGCUUCGGUUCAUUUAGAGAUAGUGUUAGUUUUGGUAGAAGAUAUGUGCACGGUUUACGCCUAAUGCACCAUAGGCUAAGAAACCAUUUUAGACGCACCUGAUGGUACUUGUAGUUGAAGAGGCUCAAGUGGAGGCUCGAUUUGGUCUGUUCGUAUAUAGUGCUAAUCUUGAUGCAAGAUAGUUGCAUAGUUUGCAUGCAACGUACCAUAUGUUAAGAAAUCAAUUUGGACGCACAUAAUGGAAGUCCUAGAUGAUGUGUGUCAUAUGGAAUCUCGCUUCGGUCUGUUUGGAGACAAUGUUAGUUUCGGUGCAAGAUAGGUGCAUAGUUUAUGUCUAAUGCACCAUAGUCUAAAAAACCAUUUUUGACGCACCUGUUUGUACUCCUAGAUGAAGAGGCUCAAGUGGAAGCUCGGUUCGGUCUGUUUGGAGAUAGUGCUAAUCUCGAUGCAAGAUAGGUGCACGGUUUGCAUGGAACAUAUGCUUGGAAAUCAAUUUGGAUGCACCCGAAGGAUCUCCUCGAUGAUGUGUGUCAUAUGGAAUCUCGCUUUGGUAUAUUCAGAUGCAGUGUUAGUUUCGGUGCAAGAUAUGUGCAUAGUUUGCGCCUAAUGCACCAUAGUCUAAGAAACCAUUUUGGAAGCAUCUGUUGGUACUUCGGUGAAGAGGCUCAAGUGGAAGCUCUGUUUGAUCUGUUUGGGGAUAGUGCUAAUCUUGAUGCAAGAUAGAUGCACGGUCUGCAUGGAACAUACCUAUGCUUAGAAAUCAAUUUGGACGCACCCAAUGGAACUCCUAGAUGACGUGUGUCAUAUGGAAUCUUGCUUCUGUCCGUUUGUAGACAUUGUAAGUUUUAUUUCAAGAUAGGUGCACAGUUUGCGCCUAAUGCACCAUAGGCUAAGAAACCAUUUUGGACGCACUAUUUGGUACUCCUGUGUGAAGAGGCUCAAGUGGAAGCUUGGUUCGGUCAGUUUGAAGAUAGUGUUAAUCCUUACUUAAGGUAGGUGGAUGGUUUGCAUGGAACAUACCAUAUGCUUGGAAAUCAAUUUGGAUGCACCCGAUGGAACUCCUUGAUGACGUGUGUCAUAUGGAAUCUCGCUUCGGUCCAUUUGGAGACAUUGUUAGUUUCGGUGCAAAAUAGGUGCACAGUUUGCACCUAAUGCACCAUAGUCUAAGAAACCAUUUUAGACGCACUUCUUGGUACUGCUAGGUGAAGGGCCUCAAGUGGUUGCUCAGUUCGGUCUGUUUGGAGAUAAUGCUAAUCUUGAUGCAAGAUAGGUGCACGGUUUGCAUGGAACAUACCAAAUGCUUGGAAAACAAUCUGAAAGCACAUGAUGGAACUCCAAGAUGACGUGUGUCAUACGAAAUCUUGCUUCGGUCUGUUUGGAGACAGUGUUAGUUUCGGUGCAGGAUAGGUGCAAGGUUUGCACAUAAUGCAGCAUAGGCUAGGAAACCAUUUUGGAUGCACCCGAUGGUACUCCUAGGUAAAAGGCUCAAGUGAAAGCUCGAUUUGGUCUAUUAGGAGAUAGUACUAAUCUUGAUGCAAGAUAGAUCUACGGUCUGCAUGGGACGUACCAUAUGCUUAGAAAUUAAUAUGGACACACCCGAUAGAACUCCUUGAUGACGUAUGUCAUAUGUAAUCUCACUUUGGUGUGCUUAGAGACAGUAUUAGUUUCGGUGCAAGAUAUGUGCACGGUUUCCGCCUAAUGUACCAAAGUCUAAGAAACCCUUUUGGAAACACCUGUUAGUACUCCUAGGUGAAGAGGCUCAAGUGGAGGCUCGGUUCGGUCUGUUUAGAGAUAAUGCUAAUGUUGAUGCAAGAUAGGUGCACGAUUUGUAUGGAACAUACCAUAUGCUUAGAAAUCAAUUUGGACGCACCAGAUGGAACUCCUAGAUGACAUGUGUCAUAUGGAAUCUCACUUCGGUCCGUUUACAGACAGUGUUAGUUUCGGUGCAAGAUAGGUGCACGGUUUGCACCUAAUGCACCAUAGGAUAAAAAACCAUUUUGGACGCUUCCGAUGGUAUUCCUAGGUCAAGGGGCUAAAGUAAAAGCUCGGUUUGGUCUGUUUGGAGAUAGUGCUAGUCUUGAUGCAAGAUAGAUGCACGGUUUGCAUGGAACGUACGAUAUGCUCAGAAAUCAAUUAGGACGCACCUGUUAACUCCUUGAUGAUGUGUGUCAUAUGGAAUCUUGCUUCGGUUCGUUUAGAGACAGUGUUAGUUUUGGUAGAAGAUAAGUGCACGGUUUACGCCUAAUGCACCAUAGGCUAAGAAACCAUUUUAGACGCACACGAUAGUACUCGUAGUUGAAGAGGCUUAAGUGGAGGCUCGAUUUGGUCUGUUCAGAUAUAGUGCUAAUCUUGAUGCAAGAUAGUUGCACAGUUUGCAUGCAACGUACAAUAUGUUAAGAAAUCAUUUUGGACGCACCCAAUAUAACUCCUAGAUGACGUGUGUCAUAUGGAAUCUCGCUUUGGUCUAUUUGGAGACAAUGUUAGUUUCGGUGCAAGAUAGGUGCAUAGUUUGUGCCUAAUGCACCAUAGACUAAGAAACCAUUUUUGACGCACCUGUUUGUACUCCUAGAUGAAGAGGCUCAAGUGGAAGCUCGGUUCGGUCUGUUUGGAGAUAGUGCUAAUCUUGAUGCAAGAUAUGUGCACGGUUUGCAUGGAACAUACCAUAGCUUGAAAAUCAAUUUGGAUGCACCCGAUGGAUCUCCUCGAUGAUGUGUGUCAUAUGGAAUCUCGCUUUGGUCUAUUUAGAUGCAGUGUUAGUUUCGGUGCAAGAUAUGUGCAUGGUUUCCGCCUAAUGCACCAUAGUCUAAGAAACCAUUUUGGAAGCAUCUGUUGCUACUUCGGUGAACAGGCUCAAGUGGAAGCUCGGUUUGAUCUGUUUGGAGAUAGUGCUAAUCUUGAUGCAAGAUAGGUGCAUGAUUUGCAAGGAACAUACCAUAUGCUUAGAAAUCAAUUGGGACGCACCCAAUGGAACUCCUAGAUGACAUGUGUCAUAUGGAAUCUUGCUUCUGUCCGUUUGUAGACAUUGUAAGUUUUAGUGCAAGAUAGGUGCACAGUUUGCGCCUAAUGCACCAUAGUCUAAGAAACCAUUUUGGACGCACUAUUUGGUACUCUUGGGUGAAGAGGCUCAAGUGGAAGCUUGGUUCGGUCAGUUUAGAGAUAGUGCUAAUCCUUAUGCAAGGUAGGUGCAUGCUUUGCAUGGAACAUACCAUAUGCAUGGAAAUCAAUUUGGAUGCACCCGACGGAACUCCUUGACGACGUGUGUCAUAUGGAAUCUCGUUUCGGUCCAUUUGGAGACAUUGUUAGUUUCGGUGCAAGAUAGGUGCACAGUUUGCACCUAAUGCACCAUAGUCUAAGAAACCAUUUUGGAUGCACCCGAUGGUACUCCUAGGUGAAGGGGCUCAAGUGGAUGCUCGGUUCGGUCUGUUUGAAGAUAGUGCUAAUCUUGAUGAAAGAUAAGUGCACGGUUUGCAUGGAACAUACGAAAUGCUUGGAAAUCAAUCUGGACGCACAUGAUGGAACUUCUAGAUGAUGUGUGUCAUACAAAAUCUUGCUUUGGUCUAUUUGGAGACAGUGUUAGUUUCGGAGCAAGAUAGGUGCAAGGUUUGCACAUAAUGCAGCAUAGGCUAAGAAACCAUUUUGGAUGCACCCGAUGGUACUCCUAGGUAAAAGGCUCAAGUGAAAGCUCGGUUUGGUCUGUUUGGAGAUAGUGCUAAUCUUGAUGCAAGAUAGAUGCACGGUCUGCAUGGAACGUACCAUUUGCUUAGAAAUUGAUUUGGACACACCCGAUAGAACUCCUUGAUGACGUGUGUCAUAUGGAAUCUCGCUUUGGUGUGCUUAGAGGUAGCAUUAGUUUCGGUGCAAGAUAUGUGCACGGUUUGCGCCUAAUGCACCAAAGUCUAAGAAACCAUUUUGGAAGCACCUGUUGGUACUCCUAGGUGAAGAGGCUCAAGUGGAGGCUCGGUUCGGUCUGUUUAGAGUAGUGCUAGUCUUGAUGGAAGAUAGGUGCAUGAUUUGCAUGGAACAUACCAUAUGCUUUGAAAUCAAUUUGGAUGCACCCGAUGGAACUCCUUGAUGACGUGUGUCAUUUGGAAUCUCGCUUCGGUCCAUUUGGAGACAUUGUUAGUUUCGGUGCAAGACUGCACAGUUUGCACUUAAUGCACCAUAGUCUAAGAAACCAUUUUCGACGCACUUGUUGGUACUCCAAGGUGAAGGGGCUCAAGUGGAUGCUCGGUUCGGUCUGUUUGGAGACAAUGUUGGUUUCGGUGCAAGAUAGGUGUAUAGUUUGUGCGUAAUGCACCAUAGUCUAAGAAACUAUUUUUGACGCACCUGUUUGUACUCCUAGAUGAAGAGGCUCAAGUGGAAGCUCGGUUCGGUCUGUUUGGAGAUAGUGCUAAUCUUGAUGCAAGAUAGGUGCACGGUUUGCAUGGAACAUACCAUAUGCUUGGAAAUCAAUUUCGAUGCACCUGAUGGAACUCCUAGAUGACGUGUGUCAUAUGGAAUCUCGCUUUGGUCUAUUUAGAAGCAGUGUUAGUAUUGGUGCAAGAUAUGUGCAUGGUUUGCGCCUAAUGCACCAUAGUCUAAGAAACUAUUUUGGAAGCACCUGUUGGUACUUUAGUGAAGAGGCUCAAGUGGAAGCUCCGUUGGAUCUGUUUGGAGAUAGUGCUAAUCUUGAUGCAAGAUAGGUGCAUGAUUUGCAAGGAACAUACCAUAUGCUUAGAAAUCGAUUUGGACGCACCCAAUGGAACUCCUAGAUGACGUGUGUCAUAUGGAAUCUUGCUUUGGUCCAUCUGUAGACAUUGUAAGUUUUAGUGCAAGAUAGGUGCACAGUUUGCGCCUAAUGCACUAUAGUCUAAGAAACUAUUUUGGACGAACUAUUUGGUACUCUUGGGUGAAGGGACUCAAGUGGAAGCUUGGUUCGGUCAGUUUGAGAUAGUGCUAAUCCUUAUGCAAGGUAGGUGCAUGCUUUGCAUGGAACAUACCAUAUGCAUGGAAAUCAAUUUGGAUGCACCCGAUGGAACUCCUUGACGACGUGUGUCAUAUGGAAUCUCGUUUCGGUCCAUUUGGAGACAUUGUUAGUUUCGGUGCAAGAUAGGUGCACAGUUUGCACCUUGAUGAGGACAUCAACACCAGCGAUACAUCCUCUCCUACAUCCUCUCCGACACAACCUAUAGCUGGUCCUACAUCUCCGACACAACCUAUAGCUGGUCCUACAUCCUCUCCGACACAACCUAUAGCUGGUCCUCUUACCCUCUCCGACACAACCUAUAGCUGGUCCUUGUUGAUAUUUGGUAACGCAAUUAGAAAAUGAUCCGCAAGCGCACGGAUAUCGGUGAGCAUUUCACCCGGGAGGUUAUCCAGAGUUAUCGUAUUUAUAUAUUUACCACUGGGAGAAAGGGUGCAUCUGACUAACCAAAUCUAUUGCUACUACCCCUUUAGGCUACAAAGAAUGUCUCUCGAUGUGAGUGAUGUAUAGAGAAGACUGCAACCGUAGUCUCGUUCUAACCUUGGUAAGGAUGAUCUACUGUUCUAUUGGGGAGGCUCACGGAAUCUAGACAACACAAAGGAUGUUCGACCCGCACCUAUAAACCUACCCGUCCUGCUAACGAGAUGUGAUCUGCAAAGGUAACUCGGAAAUGUCACGUUCCUCGCUACUACCACGGUCCAGCUAGUCAGGGGAUAUCUAUGAGUACCCUAGCCUAAACACCACGUUUACGCUAAAAAGUGAUUACUCUAAUACUCAACCGGAAGAGGAUUAAAGUAAACUCAUAAACCAAAGAACAAUAAAACAAGAACUUACUAGUAUUAGAAGUCGAAUUACUGAAGAAUCUUAGAAGCAAGGCUCGGGUUAGGAGACUUGAUCCUGUAGGUACAACUCGGAGUAGACACCGACAGGCCGGCCUUCCUCCGAUCCACACCUCCACUCUAUCUCUCUCAAUCUAGUAGAAACUAGAAGAUCUAUUUCUACUUUACAUUGGUUGCUAAGCCUAAAAAGAAAUAUUAUUUAGAGAAGAGGUUUUCCUUCGAGGGCACCCCUCAAUCUCUAUGAUAAUUUCUUGUCUUCUCCAGGGCCAGAGGGGGUCUCCUUAUAUAGUCCUCCCCUUCUAUGCGUUUUUGGGUCGAUAGGCGAGGUGGUACUAUGUUAUUCUGGAUCCAAUAGGUCGGUGGAACGUCGUGUGCGAAGAGAGUCCGGAACGGAGUCCAGAGGGGGGCGGGCGCCCAGGUCCUCAGGGCGGGCGCCUUGGGCCUGGCCCCUUUCGGGCUCUGCUUCCUUCCCGUGGCUUCUGGAGUCUUCUAGAUGGUAGAAAAUUGCGCGGUGGGUUGAUAUCUCUAUGUAAUCCCGACAUGUGGGCCUUUCUUCCUUAUUUCCUGAUAACCCCCUGCAGAAAUAGACAAACACCAAAACUCGUGGAAUUCUUUCAGAUAAAACCCUAAGUCUAGAUGUUGAUUUCAUUUGGAUCCUUUUCUUUGUUUACUUGAUAAUUAAAUUUGAUACUUAAGGACCAUCAACAAACUCCCCCAAGCUUACCUCUUGCUCGUCCCUGAGCAAGGAUGAACUCAAGAGUUUCUGCAGUGGUUUCUUUUCUUAGAAGUACACACACAUUUAAGCAAGACCUCAUCUCUGAGUUAGAAUAAACUGUUAAGACUUAAAACUUACUUACUUUACCUACACCAUAGGACUUGUAACCGUCACUUCUGUCUUGAGUGGUUAAAAGAUAGAACAGUCUAGCCAAGUGCCAUGUCUGUUAUUCUUGAUCAGCUAUAGCUCUGGGGUUUUUGCAGAUUUUCAAAUAAAACUCAGAGAUUCCUUGUAUGAUUCUCUCAAAUCUCUCUUUUGUGGUAUUUCUGGAUCCUUACCAAGGCAGUAAUGGUGUAUGUCUUCUCUCAAAGUAUGUGGUAUUUUUGGUAUGAGGCAUAGUGAUAUUGUCUUCUCUCUCACCCUACUCUAAUAAGGCUUUAAUAUCUGAAGCUCAUAGGUGGGAGAUAAAGUAUACAUACUUACAAGACAUUUAUUGCAUAGUCAAACCAUGGAUCCAAAGAAACAAAUCAAUAAGCCAAAUCAAGAUGUGCAUGUGUGGCGAAUGAAUGGUGUAUGAUGAUGAUGGUGAUAACAAUGGUGGUGGAAGUCUAAUUCUACUUUGCUCUUUGAGGGGUUACAUACCUUCCUUGCUUUUGAAACUUUAUGAGGAGAAUGAGAUGCUCUUCUUUUUCUUUUCUUUCGAGGUUCCGAGCACUUGCUCCUUUUUAUUUCCUCGUAUCUUUUAUUUUCUUUUUCUUUUUUUCUUUUUUUCAGAGCAUUCAUCUCUUGAGAUAAUAUAGCAAGUGGUAGUAACAAGAUAACUUGAGCAUUUAUUUCACAAGGGGAAACAGAAAUAUUUUUGGUUAUUCUCUCCCGGAUUAGGAGUAGAAUACUUUUGGGUGGUUUUGGAGAUGGAAAUGAGUGGAUAUAUGUGGAUGGUACUUCCAGAGUAGAAGUAGCAUGUAUGAGUGAACGUGCAAGUGAAUCUUGAUUUAACCACAUGACAAGCUCCUAAGGGUCUACACAGCUUGACCAUACUCAAUGCUCAUAAGCAGUAAAAAGUAAAUGUAUGGCUCAAAGUCUAAUAAGCAUGUAUAUAUGGCUGUGGUAGGAUUUUAAACUCUCAUCAUACAGGAACUCAUCAUGUGUUAUUUUAAAGAUUUUUAAAGGUAAAAUUCUCCAGAAUUCUAGCAUCUCUAGGAACAGAUAAACAGCAGCUCAACCUUCCCAUAUCGUAUGCGAUAACAACUUAGACUUCAGAUCAAGUUUUCAUCCCACAAGUUUAGGUCUAGAGCAAGCCUUAAAUUAUAACAGUUAUAUCUAAACUUGAGAGAGAACUUCAAAUUUGUAAUUUAGGCAGAGCAACUAUUCAUCAUAUCCAUGCUUAAGUUUUAUUAGAUACAGAUUAGCAUAGCCACUUUAUUUAUUUAUUAAACACACUAAGCAAAAUAUAUAUAAGCAUAAAAUCUUUAUUUGUUUUUUCAUAGUUAUGUGUAUUUAUAUUCUAAUAUAGUAUAAGUAUAAAGAUAGAAAUACUUAUCGAGAUAAAUGGGGGUGCUCUCCCCCAAGCUGAAUUUUGACGUAAUUUCUCUUGAUGUAGCUAGCAGGUGGC